CAGAUAUUUCGUUAAAAUUCAUUCUGAAACACUAAAACUAAAUAAUUGAAUAUGGCUUUGCGGGUCGAUGAUGCCAGCAGCAAUGAGACUGCAAUUAUCACUUGUUUAGUUUCUGUGCUUGCCGUGGUUUACUUCGCAUGGAAUGUGAAAAAAUCAAGGAAAGCAAAUGCUAAACUUCCACCAGGACCUCGCGGCUUGCCUGUAGUCGGAUACCUCCCAUUUCUCGGAACUACUGACUUGCACAAGAAAUUCACGGAAUUAUCCGGAGUUUAUGGUCCGAUCUUCAAGCUCUGGCUCGGAAACAAAUUAUGUGUCGUGGCGAGCUCACCUUCCCUAGUUAAACAAGUGGUUCGAGAUCAAGAUACAACAUUCGCCAACCGUGACCCGCCGAUCGCUGUACUAGCGUUCACCUAUGGUGGCAAUGAUAUUGCAUGGUCCAAUUACGGUCCCGAAUGGAGAAAUUUGCGCAAAGCUUUUGUGGGCAAGAUGAUGAGUAACGCAAGCCUUGAUGCUUGUUAUGCUCUAAGAAAACAAGAGGUUAAAAAUACUAUCAGGGAUUUGUACAACAACGACAACAAAAUUGGUAAGCCCAUCGACAUUGGUGAAUUGUCAAUUUCAACCUUGGUAUGUGUUAUUCAGAACAUGCUGUGGGGUGAAGCGCUUGAAACAAGAGAGGAAGGGAUCACUAAUCUUGGGGCUGAGCUAAAAUUUAAGCUGGCAGAACUCAUGGUCCUAAUGGGAACACCGAAUAUUUCGGACGUCUUUCCAGUGCUUUCAUGGUUUGAUAUACAAGGUAUAGAGAGGAAAGCAAAGAAGAUUUCACUCUGGUUUGAAAAUAUUAUAAAUUCUACUGUUGAAAAGUAUAGAAGCAAGGACUUUAUUGUUGAAGGUAAAGAAAGAGCAGGGGAAAAUUUUGAAGGAUCAAGGAACAAGAACUUCUUGCAGUUACUAUUGGAGCUUCAAGAAAAUGAAGACGGUUCUUCCUCAAUUAGCAUGAACCAAUUUAAGGGCGUGCUCGCGGUAUGUUAAGCAACUAGCCACGAACAGUUAUACAAGCACAGUUGUAUAUUUGCAUGAGUGACGCUUCUCAACUUUUUUUAAUUUUUUAAAUUAAAGUUUUAUUGUAAUCUUUUGAACAGGAUAUAAUUACGGGUGGAACCGACACCACAACUACGAUGGUGGAAUGGACAAUGGCAGAGUUGAUGCAGCAUCCACAAGUAAUGAAGAAAGUUCAGGAAGAAUUAGCUCAAGUUGUGGGCAUGGACAGUUGUGUUGAAGAAUUUCAUUUGCCUAAACUGAAAUAUUUAGAUGCUGUGGUGAAAGAAUCGUUUCGUCUGCAUCCUGCAGUGCCUUUAUUAGUACCACGCAGAGCAAGCGAGAGUGGCAGCAUUGGUGGCUAUACCAUUCCCAAAGAUACAACUCUUAUGUUGAAUGUUUGGGCUAUCCACAGGGACCCUCAACUUUGGGAUAAUCCCUUAGAAUUUCGACCCGAGAGGUUUCUGAAUGUUGGUGUCGAGAGUAAGUUCGAUUACUCAGGUAACAAUUUUCAGUACUUACCUUUUGGUUCUGGUAGAAGAAUGUGUGCUGGGAUUCCUCUAGCUGAGAGGAUGCUGAUGUUUGUUUUGGCUUCGUUAUUGCACUCAUUUGAGUGGGAAUUGCCAGCUGGCACAAAGCUAAAUUUAUCUGAAAAAUUUGGGUUUGUCAUUAAGAAAAAAGAGCCUUUGGUUGCUAUUCCAACACCAAGACUAUCCAAUUCAGAGCUUUACCAUUAAAACAGAAUGAUUGUGAUGAUUUUGUUAGUAUCGGAAGAUUUGUAUGUUAUUUCAAGUUCAAUCGUAAUAAAAUAUUUUAAUAAAAGUCCUCCGUUGCUAAUUUUUUUUUUCAACGGCAUAAUCUGUCAUCAUGCUUGUGUUUGGAGCUACUUUGGAAUGAUUAUUUUUGAAUUACAAUUUAUAAAUAUUUAGGUUUUAAAUUUUUUAUAAGAGUCUAAAUUUAUACACGUUCAGUAAAAGAUUCCCUAAAAGCUUUACAAUUCAAAAUUCUAUUAAAAGUAUAGAUGAAACUUUUAUACCUACUAAUUUUUUGGUCUAUUCUACAAGUUUAAAGAGGAGAUAUUUCUAGAGCUAGCAAAAAGAGCUACCUGAUUGUUUUCGCGUUAUGUCAAUUUUUUUAUUGUGUUAAAUUUAAUUUGACCCACAUAUGACCCAUUUAAUAAUCGUGUCAAAAUAUUGAAACUUGAACUUGAUACGGAAAAUAAAUGGAUGACCACACACACCCAUUUAAGAAUUAGGUAACUAUGUCACUUAAUACGACAUAACCCAAUAACUCGUUUAAUACAUAUUUAACAUAAUUUACAUUGUACAUUGUACACCCUUUUGUCAUAAAUUACACUAUUUUAUAUUUCUAAAUAAUAUUAUAUAUUGAUAUUAUAAAAAAAUAUCAAUAAUCUCAAAAUUUGUACACCUCCUAACUUUUAAAAAGAAAUAAAAAAACUAAUUAAUUAAUGUUUAUUUUAUUCAUUAAUAUAUCAUAAUCCUACAUGUAUUUUAUUUGUUAUUUUUUUUAUUUAAAAAGAUAGGAGGGUGGAUGAAACUCAAAUAAAUUUUUAGCCUAUCCUGAUCUUUCAAGUUUCUUAUUUAGGAGGCCAGUUAAAAAAAAUUACUUAGAAAGCUACUCCAUCAAUUUAACAAAUUUUAUUUAUUUAAUUAAUGGAGGUGUAGAAAAUAAAAGUAUCUGCAAGCACAUUGCAAUAGUGAAAGCAAUGUACCGGUGUUGCAACAUAACUGAAUCUUGAUAACCUAUCACAUAUUUUAAGUUUUAAUAUUGGUAGUUCACGGAUCGGUUUCUACUUCCACGAACAAUUAUUGAAGGAAAUGAGUUUUUUUUUUAAUGAAUAUUUAUAGACCCCGAUUAAAUAUUCGAAUAUAUAAUAAAAGAGAAACUGACAUAGAAAUGAGAAAGAUAUUUGGAGGAGGCCAAAAAAAAAAAAAAAAAUGCAACAGAGAAUUAGAUCAGCAACACAAGUAACUAAUUAAUUCAUCUAUACAUCAUAAUCCUAUUUGUAUCUUCUUCCUUCUACUAAUUUACAUAUAAAUUUGGUUAGAUAAAACAUAUUUUAAUACUCGGUCACAAGCGGUGGAUAUAGAAAAUUAAUUUAGAGGGGGUAAUACCAUAACGAAAAAUAAUGAUUCAUAACUAAAAUCAACCCCAACAUCAAAACUUAUUUACAAGAUUACGCCCAGUCAAAGGUAAUUUUUCCUAAAAACUAAUACGAAAUUAAAUAAAUUUAACUUUUAGUGGGUUCAAGUGCCCACGCAUUCUGAACGUAGAUCCACCCCUGGCCCCGACUGAAGCAUUUUUUACAAUAUGUACUCAGUUUAUCAACAGGAACAACCUUCCACUUUAAAUUAAAAUUUUCACUUAAAAAUGAUUAAUGUUAAUGAGGUUAGCAACAAAAAUGAGUUUAAUUAGAGAAUAUUAUAAGAGAAAUUAUAUUUUUUGACUUUUAAUAAAUUAAAAUAUUAUUAGUUGGUGGUGGUUUCACGUCAGAUUAAGACGUGACACUUUACUUAUGAGGUCGAGACAAUCGACUUAAACUAUUUCAAUGCAUUUGAAAUUUGCACUAAUGGCUAUCAUUCUUUGUCCAAAUUAAUACGAUAAUUAAUAACAUACAAUUGAAAUAAUUAAUACUAGCACUUGGCAAUAAAUAAAGCUCUUGUGCUUGAAUCGUCACACAUGAUCACUUCAUUCCUUUAUUUACUUUGCUACCACAAAUUUUGAGGCAUUAUAACUAAAUAAUAAUUGAAUAGGGCUUUGUGUUACUUGUUGUGCGCGCGGAAUGCGGAAUCAAGCACACCAAAUUAUUACAGAAAAAUAAAGGACACAAUUAUUUGACGUGGUUCGGUAAUUAAACUUACAUCCACGGAGGCAAGAAAGAAUAAUUGUUUAUUUAACAAUUAAUAGAGUACAAAUAUUUGAGUAACGAAUCUCACUUCUCAGAAACCUAAAUAUACCCAAUACUCUCACACUCUGCAGGAAAGAUAAAUUAUCCAAACACACUUCUCUCACUUCUCUAAAAAACUUAAAAAUUUAAAAACUUAACAAUUUUGGAAUGCUUUAGAAUAGAAGAAGUGCCAUCUUAUAGGAAAAAUAAUGAUACUAUUGCACCAACCUCUUUACUAUUCCACCUAACAUAAGCAAAUUGUCAAUAGUGUCCAUUUAACUUUUUAUUUUUUUUCUUCAAUUGUUUAGUAGCCCUUUAAAAAUCUGCGUGGUUUCUUGAAAUUUAGAUGCCACAUGCAUGACUUUUCAACACUAAUUACUACGAUAAUUAAUAUUAGCACUUGGCAAUAAAUAAAGCUCUUGUGCUUGAAUCGUCACACACGAUCACUUCAUUCCUUUAUUUGCUUUGCUACCACAGAUUUUGAGGCAUUAAAACUAAAUAAUAAUUGAAUAUGGCUUUGUGCGUCGAUGACGCCAGCAACAAGGGGACCACAAUUAUCACUUUUUAAGUUGCUUUUAAAAUUGAUUUUAAUAGUGAUUUGAUUAUUGUAGUGUUUUUAUUUUUAUAUUAAAAUUAAGUCGAUUUGUUAUAAUAAACUUAGUUGAGUUUAAUGGUAUUACUACAUAAAUUGAAUAGUCAUCAAAUAUUUUAAUGUUUUUAUGGCAAGUGUUGACGUGGCAUUUAUUUGUUGUAUGAUGGAUUUUAAAAUUUAUAAAAUUAUUUGUUAUUAAAUUACCCCCAGAUGCUGCAUCACCUGAAACUUAAUAAAGGGCAUGUAGCAUUGCCAUUACUCAACAUUCACUCUUAUGACUUUAUGACAUUAGAAUUAAAAUCUUUCGUACAUUUAAUUUGUUUGCUUCCAGAUUAAUCUUUAAAAAUAUUUUUUUCACAUUAUCAUGAAUGGACAAAACUCCAACGAAAAUAACUACGCAAGAGCAAUCUAUGCUAGUAUUAUAUGCCACGAUAUCUAUAACUUUGUCAGGUCUCAGGAUCGAUCAUUCUAAUUUUUACGCAGAACUUUUAAUCAAUGGACAAACACCUCACCGAGCUUGUCGGCAGCAUUACUACGAUGUAAAAUUGUACCGGAAUAUCUUGAAGUAUUAGUAGAAUAAUGAAGACUAUUUGGAGCAAUAAAAACAAAUAACGCAGAUAAAAAAAAUGGCUAAAAUUAUGUAAGUGAGCCCCAAAGUUUUUGCUAUUUCCAGGAAAUCCCAAAUUUGAAUGGACUAGAGGGAGGCACGUAAGAAAUACAUUUUCUUCCUAGACAAUGACAGCUAUGACAUCAAGCCACGUAUUGAAAUUAAGGUGUAAUUAUUCAGCCAAUGAGCCUUACACACCAAGAUGUAUAAAAGUCAAGAAAAUGAAAUUUUAUCCCAAUUAAAACACUUUCUGGCUGCAAUUGGCUGUUUCCAUUUGAAGUUAAAAAACAACAACGUUUCUUUCGUUUUGUGGGCGAUUCGAUUGAGCACGCGCCACGAGCUAGCUGGCUUCCAGUGCUUGCGUGUGACAAUAGAAGGCUAGUGAUUUCACUUUCGCUUUUUUUUUUUUUUCUUUUUUUUGGGGAAUCAAGAUAAAAGCCAAGAAAAUGAAAAUUGGGCUGUUUCCAUUUGAAGUUAAAAACAGUGUUUCUUUCGGGGCGUCAAUUUGAUAUUUGAAUGGACAGGCAAGUAAGAAAUACAAUUCCUUCAUAGACAAUGACAACGAGGACAUCAAGGCACAUCAUUAUAGUUUGUAGCCCAUCUACAUUUAAACGAUUAAUAAACAAGCUUAGGUGUGCCACUGCUAUUAUUAAUUAUCCCCUGAUCAUUAUAGUUUCUGAAACAGUAAAACAAAACGAAAUUGAAUACAUCAACGAGAUCGCAAUUAUCACUUGUUUAGUUGCGGUAUUUAACUUAAUUUUAAUCUAAUAUAUUUGUUAGUUAAACUUUUAAUAAUCAAAUAAUUUUGACUUAAAAAUAAAAUUAUAGAAAUUAUUAAUUAUUAAAAAUUCACACAUAGCUAUUGUUUUCUCUAUAUAUUGCAGUGUGUACGAUAUUGAGGGUUGAAGCCCAAAGCAUGCCCUAAAAUCCAGAUAAUAAUUAGAUCCGGGCCAAAUAUUCAUCAUUGUGUCGGCUGAUCAGUCGGUGGACAUCUCUAUUGAAAAAAUCUCUGACAUUUCUCUCGACAAACUUAUUACUAAAAAAAAAUCAGUGGUUUUGCCGUCUGAAUAAUGUAGAAAAAUUUGUCUGUGCAUUAAUCUAGAUGUUUGAGGUGAUUUAUACAUCUGUGAUAAAGAUUUAUAGGUUGACUUAUACGUCUGUGGUAUAGAUUUUAUGUAUUUCAUUACAAAAUGCUGGCCGUUAGAACCCUUUCUACAUCUAUUUAUAAGAUUAACGGGUGCCAGUUAUGCCAUUACAAAUUAUCCCCUCAUCAGAUAUUUCGUUAAAAUUCAUUCUGAAACACUAAAACUAAAUAAUCGAACAUGGCUUUGCGGGUCGAUGAUGCCAGAAGCAAUUCGACUGCAAUUAUCACUUGUUUAGUUUCUGUGCUUGCCGUGGUUUACUUGGCAUGGAAUGUGAAAAAAUCAAGGAAAGCAAAUGCUAAACUGCCACCAGGACCUCCCGGCUUGCCUGUAGUCGGAUACCUCCCAUUUCUCGGAACUACUGACUUGCACAAGAAAUUCACGGAAUUAUCCGGAGUUUACGGUCCGAUCUUCAAGCUCUGGCUCGGAAAUAAAUUAUGUGUAGUGGUGAGCUCACCUUCCCUAAUUAGACAAGUGGUUCGUGAUCAAGAUACAACAUUCGCGAACCGUGACCCACCGAAGGCUGCACUAGUGGUCUCCUAUGGUGGCAAUGAUAUUGCAUGGUCCAAUUACGGUCCCGAAUGGAGAAAGUUGCGCAAAUUUUUUGUGGGCAAGAUGAUGAGUAACGCAAGCCUUGAUGCUUGUUAUGCUCUAAGAAAACAAGAGGUUAAAAAUACUAUCAGGGAUUUGUAUAACAACGACAACAAAAUUGGCAAGCCCAUUGACAUUGGUGAAUUGUCGUUUUCAACAUUGGUAUGUGCUAUACAGAACAUGCUGUGGGGUGAAGCGCUUGAAAUAAGAGAGAAAGGGACCACUAAUCUUGGGGCUGGGCUAAAAUUUAAGCUGGCAGAACUCAUGGUGCUUGCGGGAACACCGAAUAUUUCGGAUGUCUUUCCAAUGCUUUCAUGGCUUGACAUACAAGGUAUAGAGAGGAGAGCAAAGAAGAUUUCACUCUGGCUUGAAAAUGUUAUAAAUUCUACUGUUGAACAGCAUAGAAACAAGGAGUCAACUGUUGAAGGUGAAGAAAGAGCGGGGAAAAAUUUUGAAGGAUCAAGGAACAAGAACUUCUUGCAGUUACUAUUGGAGCUUCAAGAAAAUGAUGACAGUGCUUCCUCAAUUAGCAUGAACCAAUUCAAGGCCGUACUCAUGGUAUGUUAAGUAACUAGCAACGAACAGUUAUACAAGCACAGUUGUAUAUUUGCAUGAGUGAUAUUUUCAACCUUUUUUUUUAAUUAGAAUUUUAUUGUCACCUUUUGGACAGGAUAUAAUUACGGCUGGAACCGACACCACAGCUACGAUGGUGGAAUGGACAAUGGCAGAGUUGAUGCAGCAUCCACAAGUAAUGAAGAACGUUCAGGAAGAAUUAGCUCAAGUUGUGGGCAUGGACAGUUGUGUUGAAGAAUUUCACCUGUCUAGAUUAAAGUAUUUAGAUGCUGUGGUGAAGGAAACAUUUCGUCUGCAUCCUGCAGUGCCUUUAUUAGUACCACGCAGAGCAAGCGAGAGUGGCAGCAUUGGUGGCUAUACCAUUCCCAAAGAUACAACUCUUAUGUUGAAUGUUUGGGCUAUCCACAGGGACCCUCACCUUUGGGAUAAUCCCUUAGAAUUUCGACCCGAGAGGUUUCUGAAUGUUGGUGUCGAGAGUAAGUUCGAUUACUCAGGUAACAAUUUUCAGUACUUGCCAUUUGGUUCUGGUAGAAGAAUGUGUGCUGGGAUUCCUCUAGCUGAGAGGAUGCUGAUGUUUGUUUUGGCUUCGUUAUUGCACUCAUUUGAGUGGGAAUUGCCAGCUGGCACAAAGCUAAACUUAUCUGAAAAAUUUGGGAUUGUCAUUAAGAAAAAAGAGCCUUUGGUUGCUAUUCCAACACCAAGACUAUCCAAUUCAGAGCUCUACCAUUAAGACAAAAUGGUUGUGAUGAUUUUGUUAAUUUUCCGAAGAUUUGUAUGUUAUUUAGUUCAAUCGUAAUAAAAUAUUUCAAAUAAGAGUCCUCCGUUGCUUUUUUUUUUUUUUUUUUUUCAACGGCAUAAUCUGUCGUCAUGCUUGUAUUUGGAGCUACUUUGGAAUAAUUAUGUUUGAAUUACAAUUUAUAAAUAUUUACGUUUUAAAUUUUUUAUAAGAGUCUAAAUUUAUACACGUUUAAUAUCCCGCUUCAUAGAUAUUUAACACAAUUUAUAUCAUACAUUGUAUACCCAUUUGUCAUAAAUUAUACUAUUUUGUAUCUCUAAAUAAUAUUACGUAUUGAUAUUAUAAUAUAUAUAUAUAUGUUUAUCAAAAGACUAUACCAUUCAAUAUAUAUUGAAAAGAGAACAAAGAAGAUUUUCUUAUGGUUUAAAAAUAUUAUGAAUUCUGCUGUUGAACAGUAUGGAAACAAGGUCUCUGUUGUUAAAGGUGAAGAAGCAACAGGGAACAAUAUUGAAGGAAGAAAUUUCACAUGUUUAGUUGCUGAAUUUGCCGCUGUAUUCUAUCGGUAGUAGAGUUUUUAUUUUUCUCUAUUAAUUUAAGUCAAUUUUCUAUAACAAAUUCGGUUGAGUUUAAUUGUGUUAUAAUAUAAAUUGAAUGAUAAUAGAAUUUUCAACAAAUAUUUCAAUAUUUCUAUCUCGAUUGUUGAAGUGCCAUUUAUUUGUUAUGCGAUCGAUUUUAAAAUUUAUAAAAUUAUUUGUUACUAAAUUGCAUCAUAUGCUAAAAUCACCUGAAACCUAAUUCCAUAACUAACCCUUUAUUUUUAGUUCUCAAGAAAUCUUGUAAGAACAAAAAUCUUUUAUAACAAAACUUUUACAACACAUUAAUUUGUAACUCAUUCCUGUGCGCGAAUCACUCUCAAUUUCCUUCAAUUGCUGUUUAACAAUCAUCUACUUAUCAAAAUUCAAGCAUAAUCUUUUUUUUUUAAUUUCUUCAUCAUUCUUUAAAAAAAAAAUCAGGAUAUGCUGUUAAAUUUUGAAAUAAAUAAAUUAACCAAAGUUGGUUGAUGUGAGUGGUUCAAUGAUGAGCAUAAUUUAUAUACAUAUUUUACCUUUAAUUAUAUAAUUAUUAGUUAUUUUUAUUAGUUAUUUUUAAUUAAUUGAAUUAUUUUAUUGCAUAGAGAAUUAAUUGGAGAUUGGGAAACAAAAAGUGCAUAAAGAAUAACAAGUUUGGGAAAGCAUCAAUCAAAGCCGUGACGCAAUUAAGAGUUUAUAGCAUAUGAAGCCAAGAGUAAUUUGCACUCAAAAAGAAUUUCAAUUAUUCAAGUGACCUGGACCUGCAUGGCAUUGUAAUGCAUGGAAAGCAACUUAAAGGGGCCCACACUUGGCUUUUACAAUUGGAAAAAGGAAUCCUAGUGCAAGCUUAAUUGAUGAGCACGUGAGUGAGAGCAAAGAAAAUUAAAAGGCCAAGCCUUUUGGCUUAAGGAAAUAACAAGGUCGGUGGGGCCCAUUUUAAAGAGUAAUAUAAAAGCAAGCUUUUGGCUUUUGGAGAGAGGAGCCGCGAGAGGAGGAAAACGCAAGACAAAGAGAAGAAAAUCUGCAGCAGUUCGGCUUCUAUGGUUGGUUUUAUCUCUUUUGUUACUCUUAAUUCAAAUAUGUCUAGUUAAUUUUCUUAUAUUAAAGUUAAGGAUGAAACCCUAUUCAAUGAAAUAAUUAUCUUUUUAUUUAUUUAAUUCCCAUAUAUGUUCUUUAAUGAUUAUGAUUUUUAUUUCACAUGAUUAAUUGGAUGUUAUUAAAAUUUUUUCAUCAAUUCUGUCAUGCAUUAUUGAUUGUUAGGAUUAAUAUUCAAUUAAAUCUAUACUUAGAUUUAUAACGUUUAUACAUGAUUAUCUUUGAUUCUAUGUCUUUCAUUAAAUUGUUUACAUGGAGUGCUUAGGAAAACUUUGACUCUUUGUUAUUCAAUAUGUUCACAUGGGAUACUUAGAUGUCAUACUAUUAAGCGGAAAAAGAACCUAUAUUAGAUUUAAUUAUUUGGGCUUAAUUGUUAUAUCCAUGAGAUGACACAAAUUGAUUUCGAGUUGUCACUCUAAAAUUAGAGAUUAAUGAAUAUUUAGAUAAUUACUAGUUGAAUAGCGGUGGAUUCUGAAACCUUGGUAAUUUCUAUCUUAUUGAAUUCUCCUUUACUUUAAUUGUUUUCUUAGUUUAAUUAAUUUAAUUUCUUUUAAAACUCAAUUUGCUUAACUAGGUUAGAAUUAAUAUUAAUUUUAGAUUUAAAUUAGACUUUUCAAUUUAUAACAAUCCAUGUGGGAUCGACCUCGUUACCACUACUUUAUUUCUAGAUUCGUGCACUUGCGAGUAUAUUAAAAUUUUCACAACAAGUUUUUGGCGCCGUUGCCGGGGAUUGUGCCAGAAAGUCAGUUUAAUCUAGGUUGAUUUGAUUCUUCCACUAGUUAUAAUUUAUGUUGUCUUUUAUUUUAUUAUUAUUUUUAAUUAACAAAAACACACAAAAAAACUUUUAUUUUUCUUUAAAUUCAUUGUUUGGUUGUUUGAUUUCUUUUAUUUUUUAAAUUUUGUUUAUUCUCAUUAUUGUUGGUUUAUUUUAUUUUAUUUUUUUCUUUCCUUGUCUAGUUAGUUUAUGAGUGUUUGGGAAUGUGAUUCAACAAAUCGUUUGGUAAAAGAGAGUCAAAAAUUGAUAGUAGUCAAGUUAGUUCUUCUGAAGUCAUGGAUGACCCAAAUAGAUUAUUGCCAAUACUUCCACCAGUGCAAGCAGAGAAAACCCUUAGAGAAUAUUUUUCACCACUUGCAGCCAACCAACCAUCUUGUAUUGUGUUGCCACAAACUACAGCAACACACUUUGAACUUUUUGAACUUAAGCCCUCAGUCAUCCAACUUUUACCAUCUUUCCAUGGGUUAGAGAGAGAGGAUCCAUAUUUGCACAUUAAGGAAUUUCUUGACAUAUGCUCUACAUUCCGUUUUCAAAAUUUUAAUGAUGAGUUAAUCAGGCUUCGUAUGUUAUCUUUCUCAUUAAAAGACAAAGCAAAAGCUUGGUUGAAUUCGCUUUCUGCUGGGUCUAUAACUACGUGGGAUGAAUUGAAUAAUAAGUUCCUCACCAAGUUUUUCCCUAUGUCUAAAACAAAUGCCCUUAGGAGAGAGAUAAGUGAUUUCUAUUAAAGAGAGGGUGAGCAAUUUUAUGAGUGUUGGGAAAGAUUCAAUGAUUUACUCCUCAAGUGCCCCCACCAUGGUUUUGAGAAAUGGAGACUUAUACAAUGCUUUUAUAACGGUUUAACCAUGUCGAAUCGUCAUAUGGUAGAGUCUAUGAAUGGUGGGAGAUUUUUGAACCUACAUGAAGGGGCUGCAUGGGAUUUCUUUAAUUCACUUUCUGAGAAUUCUCAACAGUGAGAUUUUUCAAGCCAAAGGGAAAAAUCAUCUCAAGUUUCUAGAAAGGGGUUAUAUGAAGUUAAGGAUGAUUUUGAUGUGAAAUCCACUCUAAUUACACUUUCUAGAAAAGUAGAUGCCUUAGCUCUGAACCAAUCAAUGAAUCAUCAUCCUAGUGUAGCUAAUGAGGUUUGUGCUAUUUGUUCUAACUUGUCUCAAACAGCACAAAACUGUCCAUCAUUACCAGUCUAUCCAGAGGCUUAUUCUGAGCAGGUACAUGCCUUACAAUCAUAUGAGAAAACCUCCAAUAAUACAUAUUCACUCACAUAUAAUCCUAAUUGGAGGAAUCACCCUAAUUUUUCUUGGAAACAAAAUCAAUCUUUGUCAAACCAAGGAGGACAACAAUUUAACAUGCCCAAUCAACAAUUUGUCCCUCCUAACCAAGUAUAUCCUCCUGCCCAACAACCUAUAUCUCAAUUUGUUACACCCCAACAAAGAAAACCUUCUUUAGAGGAUACACUUCAAAGUUUCAUUCAGUCAACCUAAUAAGCUUUUCAGUCAAACACUCAAGCUAUUCUAAAGCUUGAACAUCAAUUGGGUCAAUUAGCAACUACUGUAGCGGAGAAAGAAAAAAGAAAAUUCCCCAGUCAAUCAAUUCCUAAUCCUAAAGGAGUGCAUGAAGUUGGAUCGAGUUCAAGCCAUCAGCAUGAAGAAGCAAAAUCAAUUAUGACCUUGAGAAGAGGAAAAUUGUUUGACAACAAAGUGGAGGUUCAAACAAAGAAGACAUCUGAGCCUACUUCUUCAGAUCCAAUUACAUCACAAGAAUCAUCACCAAAUGAUCUUGAAGAGAGUGACCCGCUAGCUUACAUUCCCAAGGCUCAUUUUCCUCAAAGGUUAACAAAGGUAAAGAAAGGGACUUCAACAUGUGAGAUUAUAGAAAUCUUCAAGCAGGUAAGUAUAAACAUCCAUUUACUCGAUGCUAUUAAGCAAGUUCCUUCCUAUGCCAAGUUUUUGAAAGAUUUAUGCACUAAAAAGAGAAAUUUGCAUGUCACUAAAAAGGCGUUUUUAACUGAACAAACUAGCAAUUUACUUCAAUGUAAAAUGCCACCAAAAUUUAAGGAUCCUGGUUCUCCUACUAUUUCAUGUGUUAUAGGGAACCAAUGUUUUGAUAAAGCAUUAUUGGAUUUAGGUGCUAGUGUUAAUCUCUUACCUUAUUCCAUUUACAUGCAGCUUGGACUAGGUGAGUUAAAAUCAACUCCUAUUAUUUUGCAACUUGCUGAUAGGUCAAUGAAAAUACCUCGUGGUAUUAUAGAGGAUGUGUUGAUACAGAUUGACAAAUUUUAUUAUCCUGUUGAUUUUAUUGUUAUUGAUACUCAACAUGUACAUGAUCUUAAGAAACACACUCCACUUAUUCUUGGUCGUCCUUUCUUAGCUACAGCUGAUGCUCAUAUUAGUUGCAGGACUUGAAACAUGCAAUUGUCUUUUGGUAACAUGACCAUGGAAUUAAAUAUUUUUAAUGUUCCCAAGCAGGCACAAGAAGAUGAUGAAGUCGUUGAAGUAGAUAUGAUAGAAGCAUCAAUUGAUGACUCACUUAUUUCUAACCAUUGUGACAAUCCAUUAAUACCUUGCACAACUGACUCUGAUUUCUCUAUUGAUGUUGAUAGUGAUAUUGAAGAAGUUAAUGCUUUACUUGAUUCGACUCUUAUCAUAGAUCUAAUUAAGUGGAAAGAAAAGAUAAGAUUGAGCCACUUCCUCCUGAAGAGAAAAGUGCAACAUAGGUCACAUUCUGACAUAAAAAAGGUGGUAAGAUCUAAAACGCUUAAAUUAUUAGAUUUUUAUACUACUUUAGAUAACUCUCAGGAAAGCUUAGAACAGAAGAGAUCAAAGCAAUGCGAUAUUGAGGAGUUUCAUUACCAUCAUCCUUUUAUGGAUAAAAUGCUCCAGUGCUUAAUCAAUUAUGCUUUUUGGUAUUUUCUAUAUAAUUGCUUUAAUUUUCACCAAAUUCUUAUUGAUCCUGGUUGAUUUGUUGUUUACAUUAAUUAGUUAGUUAGUCGGAUUUUUUUAUUAUUAUUUAUAUUUCUUCUAACGUUUUCUUUUGAGUUGUCAUUCUUUUAAGUUUUCCUAGCUCAGUCAGGUGUGUUCUCUCCAACUUUCUCUUUUAUUAUUUAUGUUUUUAUUUUUCAUCUUUUUGCGUGCAUAUCUUUUAUUUAUGACACAUUGAGGACAAUGUUCCGAAUAAGUUUGGGGGUGGGAAUAAUGUUGCUUUGUUUGUUAAAAAAAACUAAAAAAAAAUUUCAAAAAUUCAAAAAAAAAUUGUGUUUUUUUUGUUUUUACGUGAAAAGCCAAUGAUAAAAACUUGAUUGACAAUGAAUAUGGUUUUUAGAAAGGGUUUAAUAUUGUCUUAAUUUAUACUUGAUUCUUAUGUUAGUUCCUCUUGAUUGAGAUUCUUUAAAAUAUAAGCACUAAUAUCAAUUCUUUCAUAAUUUUGACUUGAAAUUUGAGAUUGACGCAGCCUGAGUUGAGAAUUUUAGAUAGAGUAAAUGACUGUUUGUCUUUAUUCUUAUCUCCACAAUACAAAAUAGUAUACACAGGCACCAAAGUCAGAAAUAACUACCUAUAAUCCUUAAGAGUGAAGCUAUCCUUGAGUAAUUUAGGCCUAUGUACCACAAGUAUGUAGAGGAUAAUCUACCAUGAGAAGAAUGCUACCUUAAGGGGUAGAGUGAAAGCUCCUGACUAUGGUUAAAAAAAAAAGAAGAAGAAAAAGAGAAAGAAAAAAUCAAAUCAAGUGCAUGUGCUGAAAAAAAAAUCAAAAGAAAAUGCACAUAAAAGCCUGUGAAAAAAAAAUUGGAGAUUAAGAUGAUAAGAUUAGCUUGACCUACUCUUUUCUUUUUUUGAGGCGAAGGUUGUUGAUAUUGAAGAUUUUAGGAAUGAAUUUGAUUGAAUUGAUUUCACACACACACAACAAGAAUCGAAAGAGAGAUGGGAUUGAUUAUUGAAUUAAAGUUAGAACUUUGCCAAUAUUUGAAAUUUUGUUUGAGCUAUAUAAUUUAUGCAAUCUUUGAGGGUAUUUUCAUAUUUUAUUUAAAGUUUUUUUUUCUUUUUAUUUUAUUUUAUUUAUUUUUUAUUUUUUUAAAAUGAUGUUUGUGGGUGUCAUCACUGAAGCUCUCACGAGACUAUAACUCGUCCACUAGGGGUUUAAAGGCUUGUUGCAUACGCUAAAUGCAAUCGCGAUUACCUGCGAAAAUGGUUUAGUUAGGAUUUACUUUUUGUUUUGUUAUUUUUUUUUUUUUUUUUAGUUUUAGCUUUGCUCGAGGACUAGCAAAAUCUAAGUUUGGGGGUAUUUGAUGAGCAUAAUUUAUAUACAUAUUUUACCUUUAAUUAUAUAAUUAUUAGUUAUCUUUAUUAGUUAUUUUUAAUUAAUUGAAUUAUUUUAUUGCAUAGGGAAUUAAUUGGAGAUUGGGAAACAAAAAGUGCAUAAAGAAUAACAAGUUUGGGAAAGCAUCAAUCAAAGCCAUGACACAAUUAAGAGUUUAUAGCAUAUGAAGGCAAGAGUAAUUUGCACUAAAAAAGAAUUUCAAUUAUUCAAGUGAUCUGGACGUGCAUAGUAUUGUAAUGCAUGGAAAGCAACUUAAAGGGGCCCACACUUGGCUUUUACAAUUGGAAAAAGGAAUCCUAGUGCAAGCUUAAUUGGUGAGCACGUGAGUGAGAGCAAAGAAAAUUAAAAGGCCAAGCCUUUUGGCUUAAGGAAAUAACAAGGUCGGUGGGGCCCAUUUUAAAGAGUAAUAUAAAAGCAAGCUUUUGGCUUUUGGAGAGAGAAGCCGCCAGAGGAGGAAAACGCGAGACAAAGAGAAGAAAAUAUGCCGCAGUUCGACUUCUAUGGUUGGUUUUAUCUCUUUUGUUACUCUUAAUUCAAGUAUGUCUAGCUAAUUUUCUUAUAUUGAAGUUAAGGAUGAAAUCAUAUUCAAUGAAAUAAUUAUCUUUUUAUUUAUUUAAUUCCCAUAUAUGUUCUUUAAUGAUUAUGAUUUUUAUUUCACAUGAUUAAUUGGAUGUUAUUAAAAUCUUUUCAUCAAUUCUGUCAUAUAUUAUUGAUUGUUAUGAUUAAUAUUAAAUUAAAUCUAUACUUGGAUUUAUAAAGUUUAUACAUGAUUAUCUUUGAUUCUAUGUCUUUCAUUAAAUUGUUUACAUGGAGUGCCUAGGAAAACUUUGACUCUUUGUUAUUCAAUAUGUUCACAUGGGAUACUUAGAUGUCGUACUAUUAAGCGGAAAAAGAACCUAUAUUAGAUUUAAUUAUUUGGGCUUAAUUGUUAUAUCCAUGAGAUGACAUAGAUUGAUUUCGAGUUGUCACUCUAAAAUUGGGGAUUAAUGAAUAUUUAGAUAAUUACUAGUUGAAUAGUGGUGGAUUCUGAAACCUUGGUAAUUUCUAUCUUAUUGAAUUCUCCUUUACUUUAAUUGUUUUCUUAGUUUAAUUAGUUUAAUUUCUCUUAAAACUCAAUUCGCUCAACUAGGUUAGAAUUAAUAUUAAUUUUAGAUUUAAAUUAGACUUUUCAAUUUAUAACAAUCCCUGUGGGAUCGACCUCGUUACCACUACUCUAUUUCUAGAUUCGUGCGCUUGCGAGUAUAUUAAAAUUUUCACAACAUUCGGCACUCUCACUCCUUAAGAGAGGUCAGGGGUUCAAGCCUCGCUCUCGUAUGGAGUCACCACUUUGACCAGCACUUUACCCCUUACAGACCGACCCGGUGCGAGCAUGAAUUAGUCUGGGUUGUGGUACGGGCUUAAAGGUGCCUCCCACAAUUGAGACCCACUCAGGACCACCUCGUGGUUCGGACAAAAAAAAAAUUGAAAUAAAUUAUCUCAAAAUAAUUACUAACCAGAAAAAACAAAGGGGUUUAACUAGGUUAUGCAUACCUUUGAAAAUUAUAUGUUGAUCGAUAAGCAUGAUGAUCACGAUUGAGGAGUUUAAUUAAAAUUUAUAAGAUUUUAAAAUUAAUCAGGGUUAAAUUCUAAAUUUUAGAAAGAGAGGUUUUGUGAGAAUGCUGAAAGGGUGUUAAUAGUUCCACUCUUUUUUAAAAAAACCAUAGUCAUCAUUUUUCCCGAUUUCUUCUUCCCAUCUCCAUCUUAUUUAGAAAUUUCCCAGAGCCUUUGUUUCCCACCAUUCAUUUUUCUUCUUUCUAAUUUAAGAUUAUAGUAUUAUAAAAAUAAUUACUCACAUUUUAUCAAACACCUCCAUUAUACCAAGGCCUUGUUUUAGUAGUAGGCUUUUAUUAUCUCAAUAAAAUUGAAAAAACAAAGCUCAAUAAUAUUGGAAAAAAAACCUACCCAUAUUUGUAACUUUAAUUUAUUAUUCUCCAUAGACCUACUUUUUAGCUUUGAAUUUUGUUGGAGCCAUAUAUAAACAGAAUAUGUUGAAAUCAGCACAAAAAAAAAACUAAUUAUAUAAUUUUUGUUCCCAAGGACACGACUGUGUGAUUUUUAAGAAGUUUUGUUUGGCUGGCCACUUAGGUUUAAAUCUUGGUGGAGAUUAGGGGUUAAGAAAUAAAUUUGGACUUUGCACACCCCUUUAACUUUUAAAAAGAAUGAAAAAAACUAAUUAAUUAAUCUUUAUUUUAUUUAUUAAAUGUCAUAAUCAUAUGCAUAUUUUAUUUGUUAUCUUUCUAUUUAAAAGAUAGGAGGGCAAAUAAAACUGAAAUAAAUGUUUAUCCCUAUCUCCAUCUUUCAAGUUCCAUAGUUAGGUGACCAGCUAAAGAAAAUUAAUUGAAAGUUACUCCAUCAAAUUAAAAAAAAUUAUUUAUUUAAUUUGUGGAGAUGUAGAAAAUCAAACCCCAUACCUUUUCGCAUGCAAAAGUGUCAACCUGGUCUAGCUAUGUUGCAACAGUAAACAUAUUUUAAUACAUGACUAUCAUCUUUUAUCCUAAAUACUACUAUAACUAUGGGUUCAGUUAUGCUGUAACUGUGGUAUGGUACCACAGUUGUUUUCAACCAUUAAAUUCAACUUAUAUAACUAUGCAACUGUAGAUCUAACGGCUGAAAGCAACUAUGGUACCAUACCACAGUUGCAACAUAGUUUUGCCCCUAUAACUCAUAACAUUCAAUUGAAAUAAUAAAUGUUAACACUUGGCUAUAAAUAAAGGUUUUGUACUUGAAUCUUCAUGCAUGACCUUCAUUCCUUUAUUGACUUUGCUAACACAGAUUUUGAGGCAUUAAAACUAAAUAAUAAUUGACUUUGUGGGCCGAGGAUGCCAGCAACAAGGAGACCACAAUUAUCACUAGUUAAGUUACUCUAAUUGCCGUUGUCUUAUAUUCAUAAAAUAUUAGUAAUAAGAUUAUUGUAGAAUUUUUUUAUAUUAAAAUUAAGUCAAUUUGUUAUAACAAAUUUAGUUGAGUUUAAUCGUGUUACUACAUACAUUGAAUAAUAAUAGAAUUCUCGACAAAUAUUUCAAUAUUUUUAUCCCAAGCGUUGGAGUGGCAUUUAUUUGUUAGACAAUCGAUUUUAGAACUUAUAAAAUUAUUCGUUACUGAAUUGCACCAUAUGCUGCAUGACCUGAAACUUAAUAAACGGAACGUAGCGUUGGCAACAUUCACUGUCAUGACUUUGUGACAUUAGAAUUAAAUUUUUUUGCACAUUUAAUUUGUUUACUUCCAAAUUAAUAUUUAACAAAAUAUUUUUUCACAUUAUCAAUGGACAAAACUCCAACGAAAAUAACUAUACAAUAUAUGCUAGUAUUGUAUGCCAUAUCAUCUGUAAUUUUGUCAGGAUCGAUCAUUUUAAUUUUUAAGCAAAACUUUUUAUCAAUGGACAAACACCUCACACAGCUUGUCAGAGGCAUUAUUAUGAUGGAAAACUGAUAAACAGUGAACUCGAAACUCAAUUACUACAAGUCGUUUAGAGGAUUCAGUCUUGGAUGACUUGUCACUUGUGGAAUUCUUGAAGCCAGAACCGACAUAAUCUCAGUCGUCAUUCUGUCUUAAGUAAUACACAUGGUUUGCAUGUGUGUUGAAGCUGACUCUUUGCUUGGAUCAAGAAACGACGUCUUUGAGUGCCGUUUCUUAAACACACUUUAAAUCAGCUUGUGUCAAGCACGUGAGGUAGAGCUUUUUGAAUAGAUUUGGCGGGAAUGGUAGUUAGUGUAACAACCCAGAAAUAGAGGUUAAAAGGUGAAGGCUUUGUCAUCAUCUACACAUGAUUUGGGAAACAUUGAGAGUAGAGAAAAAGAUAGAGAGAGAAAGGGGUUAACAAGUUCUUGUUCUCUGUAAAUCGAUUUAUAUUCUUGUAAAGUUUGUGAUCUCAAUUAGUGAAAGACUGUUGCUUUGUUUCCAGUGGAUGUAGGCACCACUUCUUGGUGCUGAACCACUUAUACUUGGUGUCAUAUUGUUUCUUUAAUGCUUUGAUUCUUGCGUGUGAUUGUUGCUGGAUAAUCUGUGCUGUUAAUUCUCAAACCAUUGAUACAGAAUUAAUGUCUUGGGGAGAAUUUGGUUAGUCUUAUCAAAGCCGAAUUCACAACAAAUUGGUAUCAGAGCCCUCUUUUCUGUAUCAAGGUUCAAGAAAUGACUAACAAGGUGGAUCUUGAGAAGUUCAAUGGUCAGAAUGAUUUCAAUAUGUGGAGGAUCAAGAUGGAAGCAUUGUUAAUCACACAAGGUCUGGGAGAUGCCAUUGAUCCAGUCAUUAAGAGUGAAAAUGCAGAAGCCUAUUCUUCAAGAACUCCAGAACAGAUGGCUAAGAUUGAAAAAAAGGCAAGAAGCACCAUCAUCCUCAGUCUUGGUGACUUAGUGAUAAGGGAAGUUGCCAAGAAAAAGACUGUUGCUAGGCUCUGGGCAAAACUGGAACAAUUGUAUAUGACAAAGUCCUUAGCAAACAGGCUAUACAUCAAGAAAAAGAUGUUCUCACUGAGGAUGAUUGAAGGAGCAUCACUUGAUGAACACAUAGAUGAGUUUAAUAAAGUUUGUGAUGAACUGGAAACAAUUGAUGAAGGACUGAGUGAUGAGAGCAAGGCUUUGCUGUUAAUCAGUUCUUCACCAAAAUCAUAUGAACAUUUUGUGGAUGCCUUGUUAUAUGGAAGGCAAUCACUCUCCUUGGAAGAGGUUAAAUCUACUCUUGGUACCAAGAAGUUAAAAGAAAAACAAGAUAACUCAGAGAGUGAAUCAAGUGAAGGGCUGAUGGCAAGGGGCAGAUCUGAAAAAAAGGAGUACAAAGGAAAAAAACAAGGGAGAUCAAAGUCAAAGCAGAAACAUUUGAAGUGUUUUCACUGCCACAAAGAAGGGCAUUUCAAGAGGGAUUGCCCUGAGAGAAAAACAAAGCAAAAGGAAUCAAAAGACAAAUCUGGAAAUACAGCAAUAGCCACAGAAGAAACCAGUUUUGAGAUAGCUGAAGUCCUCAUUGCCACAAAAGAAAAAAACUCAAGGUCAGUGGGUACUAGACUCUGGAUGUACUUUUCAUAUGAGUCCAAAUAGAAAUUACUUUACUACAUAUCAGUCCUGUGAUGGGGGUAUGGUGCUGAUGGGAAAUAAUUCAGUUUGUAAAGCAGUUGGGAUUGGGACUGUAAGCCUUAAGAUGUAUGAUGGCAUGGUUAGAGAACUAACUCAGUUUAGGCAUGUUCCUGAGCUUAAAAGGAACCUAAUAUCUAUUGGCAUGCUUGAUCAAACUGGAUGUGUCAAUAAGGCUGAAAAUGGGUCAUUGAAAGUUAUCAGAGGCUCAAUAGUCAUAAUGAAAAGUUCCAAGCAAAAUGGUUUGUAUGUGUUGAAUGGACAUACAACUGUUGGAGAGGCAAGUGUCACUGAGAAGAGUGAAGACAAAGCAAGACUAUGGCACUUGAGGUUGGGGCAUAUGAGUGAAAGGGGAUUGAAGGAGCUUCAAAAGAAUGGGGUGUUUGGAAGUGACAAGCUAAGUUCUUUGGGGUUCUGUGAAGACUGUAUCCUAGGGAAGGCUUCCAAUCUCAAGUUUGAAUCUGCAGUUCAUUCUACCAAAGAGAAGCUUGCAUAUAUACACUCUGAUAUGUGGGGGCCUGCACAGGUAAAUUCUCUUGGUGGCUUUAAGUAUUUCUUAUCCUUAAUAGAUGACUAUUCAAGGAUGGUUUGGGUGUAUGUACUCAAAACCAAAGAUGAAGCUUUGGAAAAGUUUUAGAGGUGGAAAAUUCUGGUAGAAACACAGACAAGUUUGAAAGUAAAAGCUCUAAGAACAGAUAAUGAAUUGGAAUUCUGCAACAAAGAGUUUGGAGACUUUUGUAAAAGACAUGAGAUUAUGAGGCACAAAACAGUCAUACACACACCUCAGCAAAAUGGUUUUGCUGAGAGAAUGAACAGAACCUUAAUGGACAAGGUGAGGUGUAUACUGCUAUACUCAAAGCUGCCUAAGUCACUCUGGGCAGAGGCCUUAAACACAGCAUGUUACUUGGUAAAUAUAAGUCCAUCUACAGCAAUAGAAUGCAAAACACCUAUCGAGCUAUGGUCUGGAAGGGUUGCAGAUUACUUUAAACUGAGAAUCUUUGGAUGUGUUGCUUAUGCAUAUGUCAAACAAGGCAAAUUGGAGCCAAGAGCUUUAAGGUGUAGAUUUCUAGGAUACCCUGAUGGAGUUAAAGGCUAUAGGCUAUGGUGCAUUGAUUUGAAGCCACCAAAAUGCAUUAUCAGCAGGGAUGUAACUUUCAAUGAGUCAGAAAUCUUGAACAAAUCCAAAACCACUUAAUCCAAAGAUCAUAUAUCAGAAACAAGACCUGGGAGUGUUCAGUUUGAGGUGGAGUCCUAUGAACAAGAUAGGACUGAAUCAGAAACUGAAGGAGAUUCAGGAAGGGUUACUGAUGGAUUUGAUGUUGUUCAGGAGUCAGAGCCAGCUGAGAAUGAAGAUAAUUCUUAUCAGUUGGUCAGGGAUAGAAAGAAGAGAGCUGUAAGACCACCUAAGAGGUAUACAAUAGCAGAUUUCAUAGCUUAUACAUUAACAGUUGCACAAGAGGUAAAUGAGGAAGAGCUAAGAACCUAUAAAGAAGCUAUAAACAGCAUGGAUAAGAUGAAAUGGAAGGAGGCUAUGGAUGAGGAAAUUGAAUCACUAAUGAAAAAUGGAACUUGGAAGCUGAUAGUUAGACUAGAAAAAAGGAAGACUGUUAGCUGCAAAUGGAUCUUCAAAGUUAAGGAAGGUAUAUCUGAUGCUGAACCUAGUAGGUUUAAAGCUAGGCUGGUAGCAAGAGGCUUCACACAAAGAGAGGGGAUUGAUUUCCAUGAAAUCUUCUCUCUAGUUGUGAAACAUGCCUCCAUCAGAGUCAUCUUAGCUUUAGUUGCCAUUCAAGACAUGUACCUGGAGCAUAUGGAUGUUAAAACAGCCUUCCUGCAUGGUGAAUUACAAGAAGAAAUUGUAAUGGAACAGCCUGGGGGGUAUGUGGUGUCUAGUAAGGAAAAUCAUGUGUGCUUACUAAAGAAAUAUUUAUAUGGAUUAAAGCAGUCUCCUAGGCAAUGGUACUUGAAGUUUGAUAGUUUUAUGACAAAACAUGCCUACAAGAAAUGCAAUUAUGAUUGUUGCGUGUACUUUAGGGACAUUGGUGAUGGAAAGAUGAUUUAUCUUAUGCUGUAUAUGGAUGACAUGCUUAUAGCAUGUCACAGCAUAGAUGAAAUCAGUCAUUUAAAGAAUCUCUUGAGCAGUGAAUUCGAUAUGAAAGAUCUUGGAGCUGUAAGGAAGAUCUUAGGUAUGGAAAUUAUCAGAGACAGGAGAAGGAAGCUUAUGUUUUUAACCCAACAGAGCUAUGUUAAGAAGGUGUUGCUUAGAUUUGGGAUGCAUGAAUCCAAGUCUGUUCAAACACCUUUGGCAAAUCACUUCAAGCUGUCUGCUGCACAUUGUCCACAAACUGAUGCAGAGCAAGGAAAAAUGGCAAGGAUACCUUACUCCAGUGCAGUUGGGAGCCUCAUGUAUGCCAUGGUUCUCACUAGACAUGAUAUCUCACAUGCUGUGAGUAUAGUGAGUAGAUUCAUGGCAAAUCCAGGUUAUGAGCAUUGGAGGGCAGUCCAGUGGAUAAUGAGGUACCUGAAAGGCACUAUGGAGUUUGGUCUGCUAUAUGGAGGGUUAAAACAGGAAGGGCACAAGCUGGUGGGGUAUGUUGACUCAGACUUCGCUGGAGAUCUUGAUAAAAGGAGGUCUCAGACAUGUUUUAUAUUCACUUUGGGAGGCUGCACUGUGAACUGGAAAGCUACUCUGCAAAGUGUGGUAGCUUUGUCCACAACUGAAGCCGAAUAUACAGCAGCUGCAGAAGCUUUUAAGGAAGUCAUCUGGUUAAAAGGAAUGGUCUCAGAGUUAGGAGCAAAACAAGAAACAGUUGAAGUAUACUGUGAUAGCCAGAGUGCAAUACAUUUGAGUAAAAACCAGACCCAUCAUGAAGGAACAAAACAUAUUGAUGUAAAGCUUCAUUUUGUAAGACUUGAAGUUUCAAAGGGAACUGUGAAGAUGCUCGAGGUUCACACUGAUCAAAAUCCAACCGAUAUGUUGACUAAAGCUGUGCCUUCUGCCAAGCUCAACUUCUGUUUGAGCUUAGCAGGAAUUUGCAGUUUCUGAUCAGCUGCAAAAGAAAGGGAAUAAAGUAUACAGGAGUAGCUAGAGUUCAGAGUUCACACUGAUUAAAAGGUGCAGGCUUUGUCAUCGUCUACACAUGAUUUGGGAAACACAGAGAGUAGAGAAAAAGAUAGAGAGAGAAAGGGGUUAACAAGUUCUUGUUCUCUGUAAAUCGAUUUCUAUUCUUGUAAAGUUUGUGAUCUCAAUUAGUGAAAGAUUGUUGCUUUGUUUCCAGUGGAUGUAGGCACCACUUCUUGGUGCUGAACCACUUAUGCUUGGUGUCAUAUUGUUUCUUUAAUGCUUUGAUUCUUGCGUGUGAUUGUUGCUGGAUAAUCUGUGCUGUUAAUUCUCAAACCAUUGAUACAGAAUUAAUGUCUUGGGGAGAAUUUGGUUAGUCUUAUCAAAGCCGAAUUCACAACAAAAACUGUAAUGGUAUAUCUUGAAUUAUUGGUAGAAUAGUUCUUUGGAGCAAUAAAAACAGAUAAGACAGAUGAGAAAAUUGUCAAUACCCCACCGCAAAAGCAAAAGAAAACAAGGAAAGGAGACAAAAGAGGAAGAAGAAAAAGAAAAAAGAACGAAGAAAAAAAUGGUGCCGUGCGGUAUAGGCAAGAAGAAAAAAUAAUAAAAAAUAAUAAAAUAAUAGUGCACAACAAUCAUUUGAUUGCUAUAAAUAAAAGGCGUUUCCCUCAUUUUAUUCAUCGAAUUCUUCAGUUCCUUUCAAGCGAUUUAAGAGUCUAGUGAUUUGAGAGUUUGGGUGUAGUAUGAUUUUGGGUAGUGAGCUAAAAUACUACAAUACUUGUAACUCAUUUUUAUUAGUAAAAUAUUUUCCUUCUGACUUCGCCCGUGGACGUAUGCUAAAAGCCGAAUCACGUAAUUUCUGGUGUCCCUAUGUGAUUAUGUGUCUCAUUAUUUCUUAAUUUCACUUUAGUUGCGUGUCUGCGACACCCCUCAAUUUAUUAACAAAAAAUGGCCAAAAUUAUAUAAGUGACCCAAAUUUUUUUGUUAUUUCCAAGAAAUCCCCAAUCUGAAUGGGCUAGACCAGAGGGAGGCAAGUUAGAAAUACAUUUCCUUCAUAGACAAUAACAGUGAUGAGUCGAUGACAUCAAGCCACGUCGGUAUCAAUAUUGAAUUAAAGGUGCAAUUAUUCAGCCAAUGAACCUUACACAUCAAGAUAAAAGUCAAGAAAAUGAAAAUUUAUCCCAAUUAAAACACUUUCUGGCUGCAUUUAGUUGUUUCCAUUAGAAGUUAAAAACAACGUUUCUUUCGUUUUGUGGGCAACUCAACUGAGUUAGCUGGCUUCUAGUGCUAGUAUGUGAAAAUAGAAGGCUAAUGAUUUAUUUAUUAUCUUUUGACAAAAUUAUUAAAGAUAUAAUAGAUUUUCUAUGAUACAAGUGAAAAAUCACAUCAACAUAGCUUUCAAUCUACAGCAGCUAGCGUUUACCAAACACUUUGUUGUAGCUUUUAAGCUAUAGCUGCCCAACCUCAAUCUCAAACGCACCCUUAAUAGGUUGAUUGAAUUUGUGAGAUAUGGAUUCCACAUAUCUCAUGACCUAGUAAUUAUACAAGUGGUUCGUGAUCAAGACACAACAUUUGCUUCCGGCCUAGUGACCCAGCAAUCGCUGCACUGGUCGCCACCUAUGGUGCCGACGAUAUUGCAUGGUCCAAUUGUGGCCUUGAAUGGAAAAAGUUGAGCAAAUUAUUUGUGGACACGAUGAUAAGUAACGCAAGCCUUGAUGCUAGUUAUGGUCAAAGAAAACAAGAGGUUAAGAAUACUAUCAGAGAUAUUCAUAACAACAAAAAGGAAAAAAAAAAGGCAUUUGCAAGCCCAUUGAUAUUGGUGAAUUGUCGAUUUCAACUUUGGCAUGUGUAAUCCAGAACCUGCGCGCUGUGGUAUGGCGCUGGCACGCUUGCAUUAACGAGGGGACAAGUCUUGGGGCUGAGCUAACAUUUAAGCUCGCAGAACUCAUGGUGCUAAUGGGAACACCAAAUAUUUUUUUGACAUAUUUUGGUGCUUUCAUGGUUUAAUUCAAGGUAUAGAAAGGAGUGUUGAGAAUGUCAAAUAAAACGGCAUUGAAUGGAAGUUGUCAAAGACACGAUCCGCACCGAACGGCAACGACACGGUUGCUAAAAAUCCUUCCAUAAUAUGCAUAUCUAAUUUUUUAAAAAGUGUAACCUCUGCAUUUAUAAAUAUACUCAAUGUAUAAUGUUUUACUUAAGAAAUGAAAAACUUGUUUGUUCAAGGAGAAUAAAGAAAAUUUUUCUAUGAUUUUUUUAUGGUUUGAACAAAGAAGGUUUUAAUGAGUAUUAUAGACCUCGAUUGAAUGUUCGAAUGUAUAAUAAAAGAGAAACUGUCACAUAAAUGACAAAGAUACUUGGAAAAAAAAAAAGGGCAGCAAUAGAGAAUUAGAUUCGACUGCACAAAUAACUAGUUAAUUCAUCAAUACAUCAUUUUCUUGCUAGAAAAUGACAAUUAUGACAGCAAGCCACGAUAGUGUCAAUAUUGAAAUUGAUUUGCAAUUAUUCAGCCAAUGUGCCUUACACGUCAAGAUAAAAGUCAAGAAAAUGAAAGUUAAUAUCAAUUAAAACACUUCCUGGGCCGCAUUUAGCUCCAGUUUUUGUGGUAGGAAAACAAAGUUUUGUUUUAAAUUCACAUGGUGUGCACUUCCUAUAUAAAUCUAGAGUUGUGUCCCACGUUGAACAAUAAAGGAAAGUCACCUAAAUAUACAUGUAGGAUAAGUUACUUUAUUUAGUAAGUUUGUAUUUUCUUCUUUCUUCUAGUUUACAUAUAAAUUUGAUUAGAUAACUUAACACAUAUUUUAAUACUUGAUCAGAAGCCCUACGUACAGGUGGAUCUAGAAACUUGAUUUCUAAGAGUAAUACUAUAAUAAAAAAAUAAUGAUUCAUAGAACCAAUAUCAAAAUUUGUUUACAAGAUUACCCCCACUCAAAGGUAAUUUUCAUAGAAAUUAAUAGGAAAUUUAAUUGUUAGUGGGGUCAAAUUGCCCCCACACUCUGAAUGUAGAUCCACGCCCGACCCUGAGUCAAGUAUAUUUUGCCACAUAUACUCUGAAUGUCGGCAGGAAAAAUCUUCCACUUUAGUUUAAAAUUUUCACUUAAAAUUUAUUUACGUUAAUAAAGUUGGUAAAGGAAAUGAGUUUAAUUAAAGAAUAUUAUAGGAGAAAUUCUAUUGUUUGGCUUUUAAUAAAUUAAUUAAUAGGUUUAAAAAGAUUAAUAUACAUCAAAAUAUUAUUAGUUGGUGGUGGUUCCACAUCGGACUAAGACGUGGCACCUUACUUGUGAGAUUAAGACAAUCAGGCUUAGACUAUUUAAAUAUGUUUGAAGCUUAGAUGGCACCGCUUCAAUUUGCAUUAAUGAAUGUCAUUCUUUACCCUAAUUACUACGUAAUUGAUAACAUGCAAUUGAAAUAACUAAUAUUAGCACUUGGCUAUAAAUGAACUAAAGGCCGUGCAAUUGAAUCUUUACUUGAUCACUUCAUUCCUUUAUUUUGCUAACACAGAUUUUGAGAUAUUAAAACGAAAUAAUAAUUGAAUCUGGCUUUGUGGGUCGAUGAUGCCAGCAACAACGAGACCACAAUUAUCACUUGUUUAUUUGCUGUAUUUGACGUUGUUUCAUAUUGGUAGUAAUAACUAAUAAGGUCGUUGUAGAGUUUUUAAUCUUUUUUUUUAUAUUAAUCACGAGGUAUCCUGGGGAGGGCCCCAACUGUGGGAGGCACCUUUAAGCUCGUACCACAACCCAGACUAGAAGUCCCCGCUCGAACCGGGAGGCACAGUUUUUAAUCUUUUUUAUAUUAAAGUUAAGUCAAUUUGUUAUAAAUAAAUAAAAAAUUGGUUGAGUUUAAUUAUAUUGCUAUGUACAUUAAAUAAUUAUAAUAUUCUCGAGGGAAAAAGACACCUAGAACCUCAAGGUUUGGGGAAAUGGUCACAAAAACUCCUAAGUUUUAAAAAAGGAACACUAAAAUCUUUUUUUACCCAUAAUACCCUUUGACUAUAGUAAUUAGAAAAUUGACUUUAAAGGUUUUUAAAUAAUACAAAUUUAAUAUAAAUCAUAUAAUCUAUCUAGUACACUAAUAAUAUUAAAUUAUUUUUUAUAUUUAAAAUAAUGUUAAAAAAUUUAAAUUAUUAUAUUUAUUUUAAUAAUAUAUUUAUAAAAUUAUAAAGAUUUUAAAUAAAUCUUUGGAUUGAAUAUAUUUUACAAUUAAAAGUCUUCCUAUUAAUAAUAUUAAAAUUAAAUUUUAAGUAAUAUAUAUUCAAAAUAUUUUUAAUUUAAUUUUAUUUAUUUUAAUAUUAUGUUUCUAUCUAUUAUUAAAAAUUACUUUAAUAUAAUAAAAUAGGUCUAAUAGAUUGAAAAAUAUGAAAAUAUUUUUAAAAUUUUAAAUUAUUUUGAAAUGUAUAUAUUAUUACAUUUAUUUCAAUGUCAUAUUUCCAUUUAUUAUAAAAUUUUGGGGUUAUUUUUUUGGGAAUUUAUAGAGUCAAAGAGCAUUAUGGUUAAAAAAGAGUCUUGGUGUCCCUUAUUGAAAACUUUAGAGUUUUUGUGACCAUUUUCCUAAAUCUUGGGGGUGUUGAAGUGGCACUUAUUGUAAGAUUGAUUUUAAAAUAUGUAAAAUUAAUUUUAUUACAUUACCAUAUGCUACAUCACCUGAAACUUAAUAAAUGGAACGUAGCAUUACUCCACGUUCACCGUUAUGACCUUAUGACAUUAGAAUUAAAAUCUUUCGUACGUUUAAAUUGUUUACUUCCAAAUUAAUCUUUCGUAAAUAUUUUGUACAGAUCUUAUCGGAGUUAGCGUGUUCAUUACAGUGUUUCUUUUCUUUUAUCCUUUCUUUUGAAACGUAUUUCCUGUGGACAAGGAAAGCAAAUAAUACCCUGCCACCAGGACCUCGCGGCUUGCCUGUAAUCGGAUACCUUCCAUUUCUCGGAAUUACUGACUUACACAAGACAUUCACGGAAUUAGCUGGUCUAUAUGGCCCGAUCUUCAAACUCUGGCUUGGCAACAAAUUGUGUGUAGUGGUUAGCUCGCCUUCAACUAGUUCUAUAAGAAUAUCCCUUUUAAGGGAUUCUCUCUCUGCAAAAUUUUUUUAUCUUCUGGUGCAUAAUAAAAACUUAUGCCACUUCAUUAACCACAGAUAUCUUUUGAGGAAACGAUGUUUCGUUUUCUUUUGUUUUUUCCUUCCUAAUCCUCGCAUAUCGUGUGAAGGCUAAUAUAUCCAAGAAUCUAAAUCUCUGUAAAUCUUUUUCUAUCCAAAUCUACAUAAUAAUUUAAUCCAUGCACAAUAUCUAUAAUUAUAUCGGCUGUCGGCUGAUUUCGUGGAGGGGGCGGCAGUUCAAAUUUUUUACGUGCAUGUUGGAUGGACGUCUCUAUUAAAGGAGAGCCACCACUUGCAUGGUAAUUUUUUUAAAUAAAUAUAUACAUUUCAAAAUAUUAUUUCAUUGUUGUAUAGUUAACAUGUCACCUUAGAUGUAUUUUAGAACUUCUCCUAUUAAAGAUAAUCUCAUGCAGUGAUACUUCUCGUGAUCUAAUCAUUAGUAGAAUCUAUAAUUUCGCUACUGUAAUAAAAUCUGUCCCUACCCUAUAUGAAUGUAGAUAUUUGACGCGAUUUGUAAUUGCUUCCGACAGGAAAACAGCAAUAGUUUAAUUGAAAUUUGUGGUAUGGAUUCCACGAAUCUUAUGACAGAAUACUGACCACUCCAACCCUAUCCACAUUUACACGAUUAAAACACAAGCUUAGAUGUGACAAUGCAUUUGUCACUUUUGUUCAAAUUCAUCCUGAAACACUAUACACUAAAUAAUCGAAUAUGGCUUCGUGGGUCGAUGAUGCUAGCAGCAACGAGACUGCAAUUAUCACUUGUUUUGUUGCUGUACUUGUCGUGGUCUAUUUCGCAUGGAAUGUAAACAAAUCAAGUAAAGCAAAUGCUAAAUUGCCACCAGGAUCUCGGGGCUUGCCAGUAGUCGGAUACCUCCCAUUUCUUGGAACUACUGACUUACACAAGACAUUCACGGAGUUAGCUGGAGUUUAUGGUCCGAUCUUCAAGAUUUGGCUUGGGAAUAAAUUGUGUGUAGUGGUGAGCUCGCCUACCCUAGUUAAACAAGUGGUCCGUGAUCAAGAUAUAACAUUCUCAAACCGCGACCCACCGAUCGCUGGAACUGUGACCACCUACGGUGGCAAUGAUAUUGCACUUUCCAAUUAUGGUCCCGAAUGGAAAAAGUUGCGAAAAUUAUUUGUGAGCAAGAUGAUGAGUAAUGCAACCCUUGAUGCUUGUUAUGCUCUAAGAAAACAAGAGGUUAAAAAUACUAUCAGGGAUUUGUACAACAACAAUAAGGAUAAUAUUGGCAGUGGCAAUGGCAAGCCCAUUGACGUUGGUGAAUUGUCGAUUUCAACUUUGGUACGUGUUAUGCAGAACAUGCUGUGGGGUCAAGCAUUGGAAACAAGAGAGAAAGAGAUUACUAAUCUCGGGGCUAAUCUUGCAGAACUCAUGGUGCUACUGGGAACACCAAAUAUUUCGGAUAUUUUUCCAGUGCUUUCAUUGCUUGACAUGCAAGGUAUAGAGAGAAGAGCUAAGAAGAUUUCUCUAUGGUUUGAAAACAUUAUCAAUUCUGGUGUUGAACAGUAUAGAAACAAGUUUUCUGUUGUUAAAGGUGAAGAAGCUGCAGCAGGAAAAAAUAUUGAACGAUCAAGAAAUAAGGACUUCUUGCAGUUACUGUUGGAGCUUCAGGAAAAUGAAGAUAGUGCUUCAUCUAUUAGCAUGAACCAACUAAAGGCCGUGCUCGUGGUAUGUUAAGCAACUAGACACAAAAAGUUGUAAAAGCACAGUGAUAUAUUUGCGCGAGGCCGCGAGUGAUGUUUUGCCUCGAGAACUCUCAAUUUUAUCUUACGGUAAAAAAUGUUUUUCAACUUUUUUUAAUUAGAAUUUUAUUGCAAUUUAUUUAACAGGACAUAAUUGUGGCCGGAACCGACACCACAACUACGAUGGUGGAAUGGACAAUGGCAGAGUUGAUGCAACAUCCACAAGUAAUGAAGAAAGUUCAAGAAGAAUUAGCUCAAGUUGUGGGCAUGGACAGUUGUGUUGAAGAAUAUCACUUGCCUAAAUUAAAUUAUUUAGAUGCUGUGGUGAAAGAAACAUUUCGUUUGCAUCCUGCGUUGCCCUUAUUGGUACCUCGCACGGCAAGCGAGAACAGCAAUAUUGGUGGCUAUACCAUUCCCAACGACACUAAUUUUAUGUUGAAUGUUUGGGCUAUUCACAGGGAUCCUCAACUUUGGGAUAAUCCCUUAGAUUUUCGACCUGAGAGGUUCUUGAAUGAUGAUAUCAUAAGCAAAUUCAAUUACUCGGGUAACAAUUUUCAGUACUUGCCAUUUGGUUCUGGUAGAAGGAUGUGCGCUGGCAUUCCUCUAGCUGAGAGGAUGUUGAUGCUUGUUCUGGCUUCGUUGUUGCACUUGUUUGAGUGGAAAUUGCCCCCGGGCACAAAGCUAGACUUAGCUGAAAAGUAUGGGAUUGUCAUGCGGAAAAAAGAGCCUCUGAUUGCUAUUCCAACACCAAGGCUACCAAAUUCAGAUCUCUACCAGUAAGAUCAAAAUGGUUGUGAUGAUAUUAUUUCCCAUUGUAUUGGAAUAUUUUUGUGUGAUUUGAAGUUCAAUCAUAAUAAAAUAUUUUAAUAAAAUGUCCUCGGUUGCUAAUUUUUCAAUAGUAUACUCUAUCAUCGUUUCUAACUGUCUUUUAGAGCCAUUUGGUCUAAUUUAUUUUUGAAUUAAAAUCCAUAAAUAUUUAAAUUUUUGAAUCAUAUUAAGAAUUAUCUGGAGUGUAUGGUCUGAUCUUCAAGUUCUGGCUUGUAAACAAAUUAGAGUUCUGAUAUUUGCCCCGGGUCAAACCCCGAAAUUAAAUAAAACGGCGUCGUUUUGUUUUUUUUUUUUUUUUUUUCUUUUUUACUUCUUCCAAACGUUGCCAUUUCACUUGUCAUUUGCAAGUGACUCCAUUGAUCCUUAGUUGAAACAGAGUUACACCGUAAAUCUCUUCCUCUUCGUUUCUUCGUUUCACCAGGGAACGAGACAGAUAAAAUCCAGCCAUUCUUCGACAUAACAAGAUAUCGAUUAGAAUCCAACGACAUAACUAUAAACCAUGACAUUGCGCUUGAUUUUGCGAAAUACCGAUUAAGAACCAGUAACUUUGAAUCCAAUGACCGUUAAGAGUUUGAAAUUGGUUUCAAAUGACUAAUGAGUUAUCAGAUUUCUUUGCGUCUACAUUUUCCUUGAAGGUUUCUCAGCAGCCAAACAAAUACAAAGCAAAUUGCAGAAGAAACACAUUUUGUUCCAAUGAAAAAUGUACGGAAACAUUUUAAAUAUGGAAAAUUACCUCAAAAUGAAGGCUCGCAAGAGAUUCGAGCAACAAAUUAGAUCAAAGGAACCGGCGCUGAGCAAGAAAGUGAGCUCAAAGAUUCCGAAACACAAACGUAAAUUCACAAAAAUGCAAAUCUAUGAUGAACGCCAAGAUCAAAAUUUUCGAAGAAAGGGAGCUGAAAAAAUAAAUGAAACGUCAAACUAGAUGACAAUGGAUUUGCUUCUUCAAAGGAGACAAUGAAAUUGUUACUAGAGACAGCUAGAGAAAUAGAGAGAGAGAGAGAGAGAGCUUGAAUUGGCUGUACCCCCACCAGAAAGUGGGUAGUGCCUUUUCCACUUGGACUUGAUAUGCGAAUCUGAAAAAAUCUGAACGAAGGACUGACUCAUCCCAGCUCGAAAGCAAACCAAGCUAGGACUGACUGAAAACGUUGCCGUUUGGAGAAGUUAAAAAAAAAAACUAAACAAAACGACGCCGUUUUGUUUAGUUUCGGGGUUUGACCCGGAAUUUGACCCGGGGCAAACAUCAUUUUCCAACAAAUUAUGCAUGGUCGUGUACACGCUUUCCCUAAUUAAGCAUGAGGUUCGUGAUCAAGGCACAACAUUCACUCCCUGCGACCCAACAAUCGCUACAUUGUUUGCCACCUAUAGUGCCAACGAUUUUGCACGGUCCAAUUAUGGUCCCCAAUCGAAAACGUUGCGCAAAUGUUUUCUGGGCAAGAUGAUAAGUAACGCAAGCCUUGAUGCUUGUUAUGGUCUAAGAAAACAAGAGGUUAAUAUAUAUAUAUAUAUAUAUAUAUAUAUAUAUAUAUAUAUAUAUAAAUUGGCAUUGUCAACUUUUGUAUGUUUUAUUCAGAACCCGCUGUGGGUUGACGCUAGCAUGCUUGCGUUAGGAGACGAGGGGACCAAUCUUGGGGCUGAGCUAAAAUAUAAGCUUGUAGAGAUCAUCUUGCUAAUGGUAAUGUUUUCCGAUGCUGGUUUAAUUCAUGGUAUAAAAAGGAGAACAAAAAAGAUUUUUCUAUGCUUUGAAAAUAUUAUAAUUUUUAUUUUAUAAUUUUUAAUAAAAUCUCUCAUUGAUAGCCAAACAAUUAAAAUUUUUGUAAAGCUUUUGUGGACUUUUGAUCGCGUAUGGUGCCAAUGUAUUGCGUGGUCCUAUUAUGGUUCCAAAUGGAGAAAGUUGCACAAGUUUUUUGAGUACCAGAAGAUCAGUAAUGUAAGCCUUGAUGGUUGUUAUGGUCUAAGAAAACAAGAGGCUAAAAAUUCUAUCUGGGAUUUUUAUAACAACAACAAAAUUGGCAAGCCCAUUGACAUUGGUGAAUUGUCAGUUUCAACCUUGGUAAGUGCGAUUCAGAACAUGCUGUGGGGUGAAACGCUUGAAAUAACAAAGAAAUGGAUUUACUAAUAUUGGGGCUGGGCUAAGAUUUAAGCUUGCAGAACUCACGGUGCUAGAGGGAACACCGAAUAUUUUGGAUAUCUUUCCAGUGCUUUCAUGGUUUAAUAUACAAGGUUUUCAGAGAAUAGCAAAGAAGAUUUCUCUAUGGUUUUAAAAUAUUAUCAAUUCUACUGCUGAACGCUAUAGAAACAACGUCUCUAUUGUCAAAAGUGAAGAAGCAGCAGCAGCAGGGAACAAUAUUGAAGGAAGGAAUAAGGACUUGGUGCAGUUACGCUUGGAGCUUCAAGGUAAAGAAGACAAUGCUUCAUCAAUUAGCAGGACGCAAUUUAAGAGCUUGCUCGUGGUAUGUUGCGCAACUAGCCACAGACAGUUACAGAAACUGAGUUUGGCAGAUUACGACCGUUUCUGGUGAUUACAUAAUUAUUUGUGGCUGUUUUUUUUUUUUAAUUGUAAUUUUCUUAACAGGAUAUAAUUUAGGGUGGAACCAACACCACAACUAUAAUGGUGGAAUGGACAAUGGCAUAAUUGAUACAGCAUCCACAAGUAAUAGAGAAUGUACAGGUAGAACUAAAUCGGGCCGUGGCCAUCGACAGCCAUGUUGAAGAAUUUCACCUAGCUAAGUUAAAAUAUUUAGAUGCUGUGGUGAAAGAAACAUUCUGCACUGUAAUAUAAUACAUGAAUCAUAUGUCCUCUAUUGUUUUUUUAUUUUUCUCUUUUUUUCAAUAGCUUAAUCUAUCAUUAAAAUCUUCUGAAAUUCUAAAUUAAUAUACAUUCAACCUAGAGUUCAAGCCAAAGUUUUAUUGAGCAUUAAAAAAAAAAAAAAUUCUACGACUCAAAAUUUUGUGGAGUAUAAAUUAAAAAUUAUGCGCCUACUAAGAGACAAAAAAUAAAUGAUACACAUUAACCAAUCAAAGGCGAACAAGAGAUUAUUAACAAUAACCUAAUAAUAAAAUUAUAAUGAAUAAAAAAGAAAUGGUACCUAGAAACACAUCACAGCCAUUUAAGCAAUCACUUACCCACAAAAUCCAAACAUAUAAACUAUGUGGGGGGGGGGGGGGGGGGGGGGGGUGUCAUGAUACCUUUGGGUUUCAUGAUAAUCAAAAUUGCAAUACCAUUAAAGACUCAAAAAUAAAAAAAAUCAUAGCCAAUAAAAGAGAAAAAAUAACCCACAAAAAAUCAUCAAGAAAAUAAAUUUGAGACUAAGAGAAGAUAUUAAUUAAACCCUGGGUUGCCUUGGAACCACGGCUUUGGCUUCCAUUUUUCAAUUCUUGGCGACAAGUCAUUUCUUGUUUGUUUACAAAGAUGACGGCUGAUUAAUGAAGCUCUAUUAACAAUGAAUAAAUAAAAAAACUGGCGCCUUGAAAAGACUAACGGUCAUAUUUUUCAACUCCGAAUUAGUGCCGUUUGAUGAGUCCUUGCCAAAACAAUCACUAGGCAAAUAACAAUCAUUUUUCAACCAGCAAAACUCAUUCAUUGUAUUUCACCUUAGUCAAGAUUUAAAAAUUGUUUCAAAAUAAACCUAGUGGUUAGAACCCAAGCGUCACAAUUGUGAGGUCAUGGGUUUGAGCCCCCACAACGUAUUGUGGGGGUUAAUUUUCUUCUUCAAUUUGAGUGAAAACAGUUCUCUCCCUUUCGAAAUGUGGGUGGAGUGGACGUCCCUCAAAUAUUAGAGAGGGUUCAAAUUUGGAUUGUACUAUAUAAGAUUUAUAAAUUAGUCCCAGUAAUUAUCUGAUUGUAAAUAUCAAUAUACUAAUCUAAUUAAAUAUGAGUUGUAAUAUGAGCGUUAGUCUCAUGUAAUUAAAAAAAAAAUGUUUCAAAAUAGGAUUCUUAAAAGGUUGGGGAAAUGGCCAUCAAUAUCCCCAACUUUCCAAAAAGAGACACCAAGACCCAUUUUGACCAUAAUACCCUUUACUUCUAUUAUCCCCAAAAAAUUGACUCUAAUGUUUUAUAAUAAAUAAAAAUAUAACAUUAAAAUAAAUGUAAUAGUAUAUACAUUUUAAAAUAGUUUCAAUAUCUAAAAACCAUUUUAAUAUUUUAAAUCCUAUUAUAUAUAUAUUAAAGUAAAUUUUAUAAUAAAUAGAAUCAUAAUAUUGAAAUAAAUGCAUUAAAAUUUAAAUUAUUUUUAAUAUUAUGUAAAAUAAUAAUUUUAUCAUUAUAAGUAUAUGAGAAUUUUUUUAAUUGUAGAAUGUAUUUAAUGCAAAUAUUUAUUUAAAAUCUCUACAAUAAAUAAAAAUAUACUAUUAAAACAAAUCUCUACAAUAUAUACAUACAUACAUAUACAUUGGCCUGGUAUUUUAUUUUUCAUUUUUUAAACUUAUUAAAUCCUCUAACUAUCAUUUGAUUAUUUUUUUCAAUGAUGAAGAGGCCAUUGCCGGAUAAAUUAUUAAAAUCAACUAGUUCUACAAGAAUGUCCCUUUUUAAAGGAAGAUGAUUCUCUCUCUCGAAAUUUUUUAUCUUGUGCUACAAACUAAAAACUUAUGCCAUUUCAUUAACCACAGAGAUCUUUGAGGAAAUGAUGCUUCGCCCCCCCCCCCCCCCCCCCCCCCCCCCCCCCCCCCCCGCGGCGCCAAAAAGUGUCCUUCCAUAUUUUGUGAAGGCUAAUACAUCGAUGAAUCUAGAUUUCUUUAAAUUUUUUGUUUUACUCAAUUCGAGAUAAUAAAUAGUUUAUCUUUAUUAAAUCUUUACUUUAACAAUGAUAGAUAUUCAAUCCAUGCAAAUAUCUAUCAUUGUAUGAGCUGAUUGCGUGGAGGGAGCGGUAAUUGAAAUCUAAUUGAAAACAGCAGAAGGCUGUUCUUGACAGAUCUCAAAUAUAUUACGGACACGUUGGGAGACAUCUCUAUCAUAGAUAUCCCCAUGCAGUGAUAUUUGUCGUGAUCUAAUUUUUAGUAAAUCUGUAAGAGAGAUUGUAACAUCUUUCAAGUUUUUUGGUUUGAUAUUCUAGACGAAAACGGUUUGUCGUUUCUUGAGCAAACGGCUAACCGUUUAAGUCCAGAGAGCAUGUUUGUUGUUCUGGAUAAAACGGCUCACCGUUGUUGCGAAAACGGCUAACCGUUUAACUCAAGAGAGCAUGUUUUAUGUUCUAGAGAAAACGGCUCACCGUUAUUGAGAAAACGGCUAACCGUUUAUUUACAGAGAGCAACGUAUUUGAUAUUCUGGAAUAAAAUGGCUCACCAUUUAUUGAGAAAACGGCUAACUGUUUAUUUCCAGAAAGGCGUCAAUUAGAAAAACGGUUAGCAAGAAUGAAAAUUUCAAUUGACAAUCGAUGCAAAUUCAAACCAAAAGAGUGUCUUCGAAAAAGUACCAUUUCUAAUGGUUGUAUUCUUUCAAAUAAACAUCUUCUUCAUUAAAGAAAUACACACAAUUAGAUUGAUAAUCAGAUUUUGACAGGUUUCUUAUAUGUUCUGGAAAUACAAUCUUAUUUGCUAGAGAUUGUAUUCAGGAUUUGUUAUAUCUUGGGGGUAAUUUGCCAUUAAAACUAUAUAGCAAACCAAGAUUGGUGAGGGCAAAUAAAACCUUAAAGGAAAGUAUGCAAACACGUCUCAAAUCCUAUGAAACUUUCUUUGUUCUUUGCCUCCAUAUUCUUAUUAUUCACUAACAAAAUCCCCAUGCAGUGAUAUUUGUCGUGAUCUAAUUAUUAGAAAAAUCUAUGAUUUCGCUACUGUAAUAAAAUUUGUCACUACUCUACAUUAAUCUAAAUGUCUGAUGAGAUUUGUAAUUGCUUCCGACGGGAAAACAGUUAAUAGGUUGAUUGAAUGUAUGUGGUAAAGAUUCCACGUAUCUCACGACAGAAUGCUGACCACUGGAACCCUAUCUACUUUUACGCGAUUAAUUCACGAGCUUAGGCACGACAAUUGCAAUACAAAUUAUCCCUUCAUCAUAUAUUUCGUUAAAAUUCAUUCUGAAGCACUAAAACUAAACAAUCGAAUAUGGCUUUGAGGGUCGAUGAUGCCAGCAGCAAUGAGAGUGCAAUUAUCACUUGUUUAGUUUCUGUGCUUGCCGUGGCUUAUUUAGCAUGGAAUGUGAAAAAAUCAAGGAAAGCAAAUGCUAAACUGCCACCAGGACCUCGCGGCUUGCCUGUAGUCGGAUACCUCCCAUUUCUCGGGACUACUGACUUGCACAAGAAAUUCACGGAAUUUAUUUUACUAUUAUAUUUAUAUUCAAAAUAAUUUUAAUUAGCUUUUAAAAUGAAUGAUUUUAGGAAAUUAUAAAUAAAGGUAACUAAGAAUUCUCUUAAUGUAAUAUAUUAUUAAUUAGUUUAAAAAUACAAAUUUAUUAAUUAGAGAAAUUAUUAGUGAAUUUAAAUUAAUGAUCUUAAUGAUUUGUUUGUACGAUUGCCCCCAAUCAAAGGUAAUUUUCCUAAAAAUUAUUAGGAAAUUAGAGAAAUUUAAUUUUUUUAGUGGGUUCAAUUGCCCACACACCCCGACUGAAGCAUUUUUUACAAUAUGUACUCCGUUUGUCGGCAGGAAAAUAAAGGUCUUGACACAUGAUCACUUCACUCCUUUAUUUACUUUGCUAACGCAGAUUUUGAGGUAUUAAAACAAAUAAUAAUUGAAUAUGACUUUGUGGGUCGACGACGCCAGCAACGAGGAGACCGCCAAUUAUCACAUUUUAAGUUUGCUGUAAUUGCCGUUGUUUUAUAUUAGUAGAAUAUUAGUGAUAAGAUAAUUGUAGAGUUUUCAUUUUUUUAAUAUUAAAAUCAAGUCAAUUUAUUAUAAUAAAUUUAGUUGAAUUUAAUCGUAUUACCACAUAAAUUGAAUAAUAAUAGAAUUCUCGACAAUAUUUCAAUAUUUUAAUCUCAAGCAUUGGAGUGGCAUUUAUUUGUUAUACGGUCGAUUUUAGAAUUUAUAAAAUUAUUCGUUGCUGAAUUGCACCAUAUGCUGCAUAACCUGAAACUUAAUAAACGGAACGUAGCGUUGGCACCGUUACUCAACAUUCACUGUUACGACUUUGUGACAUUAGAAUUAAAAUCUUUUCCACAUUUAAUUUGUUUACUUCCAACUUAAUAUUUAACAAAAUGUAUGUUAGCAUUGUAUGCCAUAUCAUCUGUAAUUUUGUCAGGAUCGAUCAUUCUAAUUUUUAAGCAGAACUUUUUGUCAAUGGACAAACACCUCAUACAGCUUGUCAGAGGCAUUAGUAUGAUGUAAAAUUGUAAUGGUAUAUCUUGAAUUAUUUUAGAAUAGUGAAUAACUAUUUGGAGCAAUAAAAACAAAUAAGACAGAUGAGAAAAUGGCUAAAAUUAUAUAAGUGACCCAAAAUUUUUUGCUAUUUCCAAGAAAUCCCCAAUCUGAAUGGACCAGAGGGAGGCAAGUUAGAAAUACAUUUCCUUCAUAGACAAUAACAACGAUGAGUGGAUGACAUCAAACCACGUUGGUAUCAAUAUUGAAAUAAAGGUGCAAUUAUUCAGCCAAUGAGCCUUAGUACACAUCAAGAUAUAUAAAAGUCAAGAAAAUGAAAAUUUAUCCCAAUUAAAACUCUUUCUGGCUGCAUUUAGCUGUUUCUGUUUAGGGAUGGCAAUUUAAUCCGGACCCAGCCCGACCCGGAUGAAUCCAGAAAAUUCGGGGUGGAUUCAACCCGUACCGGAGUGAAUAAAAUCUGAUAUUCAAAUUCAAUAUUUUCAACCCGGACGUUUCCGAGUCCGGAUCCGGAUUUGGGUAAACCCGCAUAUCCGGAACCCGGAUCCGGAUAACUAUUUUAAUAUUAAUUUUUAAAUCAUUUUAAAAUAAAAAAAAAUUAGAAAAAAUCAGCCCUAAUGCCCUUCCACAGCCACGGCAGCCAAACCAAACCCAGACAUUUCCUCUCUCUCUCUUUAGCCCUUCUUUUCAACAAAUCAUCAUCGUUGCUCAUCAUCGUUUCGUCGUGUUCAUCUUCAUCUUCAUCAUCAGCUGCCGUUUGUCCAGCUAUGUCACUAGUUUUGGCCGCCGUUUCCGUUUGUGCACCUUCGCAAAUCGGGAUCUCGAUUUGGCCGCCAACACUUCUACCCCCUGGUGUUUUGCUUUGUCCUCGACAACUUCUUUGUUGAUAAAUUGACGGGCACUUAUGAAUGCAUUUGUCUCUGUUUCUUCAUUUACACCUUCCCAGUUGUUUGUUCAUUUGCUUUUUGGAAGGAAAAAAAAAAAAAAUCAGCCACCAUUUAUCCUUCCCCUUUUCUUGACCUAACCCCACAAAGCCCAAUUUGUCAUCAUCAUUCAUUGGCAAAUUUGUUAUCAUCAUGGUUGAGACAUCAUGAUUAUCUUUGAUAAUUGAAUUUGUGUAAUAUGUUACCUUGGAUUUUAUUUCUAAGUAUUUGAUUUUGAAUUAUUUUCCAUUAUUGGUGUUAAUAGAUAGAAGAUUAGAAAGGAAUUCUUCACUGAAUAAAGAGAUGGGAAAUUGCAUCUUUUAGCAAUCAUCCGGGUUAUAAACCCGGAAUCCGGAAACCAGGAUUUUUCCGGGUUUAACCCAGUCCGGACCCGAAUGAAAAAUAUCCGGGUUUACAUCCGGGUCUGGUAUUAAAAUUUAUCGUCCGGAUCCGGAACAGGGAAGACAAAACCCGGACCCGAACCCACAUUUUGCCAUCCCUAUUUCCAUUUGAAGUUAACAACAACGUUUCUUUCGUUUUGUGGGCGACUUGACUGAGCCAGCUGGAUUCUAGUGCUAGUAUGUGAAAAUAGAAGGCUAAUGAUUUCACGUUCACUAGCCCACCUCCCCUCCUCUCGUUUCCUCUGAAUCAAUUUUCACGUGUGGUACCGAUUGAAAAUAUCUCUGACAUUUCGUGGACAUCUCUAUUGAAAAUAUCUCAGACAUUUCACUCAGGCAAACUUAUUAAUAUAAAAAAUCUAUGAUUUUUUCGUCUUAUACUGUAGAAAAAUUUGUCUAUACAUUAAUCUAGAUGUUUGAGGUGGUUUAUACAUCUGUGGUAUAGAUUUAUAGGUUGAUUGAUACGUCUGUGGUAUAGAUUUUAUGUAUUUCAUUAUCAAAUGCUGGCCUUUGGGACCCUAUCUACAUCUAUUUAUAAAACUAACGGGUGCCAGUUAUGCCAUUACAAAUUAUCCCCUCUUCAUACAUUUCCUUAAAAUUCUUCUGAAACACCAAAACUAAAUAAUCGAAUAUGGCUUUGCGGGUCGAUGAUGCCAGCAACAAUGAGGCUGCAAUUAUCACUUGUUUAGUUUCUAUGCUUGCCGUGGUUUAUUUCGUAUGGAAUGUGAACAAAUCAAGGAAAGCAAAUGCUAAACUGCCACCAGGACCUCGCGGUUUGCCUGUAGUCGGAUACCUCCCAUUUCUCGGAACUACUGACUUGCACAAGAAAUUCACGGAAUUAUCCGGAGUUUAUGGUCCGAUCUUCAAGCUCUGGCUCGGAAAUAAAUUAAGUGUCGUGGUGAGCUCACCUUCCCUAGUUAAACAAGUGGUUCGUGAUCAAGAUACAACAUUCGCAGACCGUGACCCGCCGAUCUCAGGACUAGUGACCUCCUUUGGUGGCAAUGAUAUUACAUGGUCCAAUUACGGUCCCGAAUGGAGAAAGUUGCGCAAAUUUUUUGUGGGCAAGAUGAUGAGUAACGCAAGCCUUGAUGCUUGUUAUGCUUUAAGAAAACAUGAGGUUAAAAAUACUAUCAGGGAUUUGUAUAACAACGGCAACAAAAUUGGUAAGCCCAUUGACAUUGGUGAAUUGUCGAUUUCAACAUUGGUAUGUGCUAUGCAGAACAUGCUGUGGGGUGAAGCGCUUGAAUUAAAAGAGAAAGGGACAACUAAUCUUGGGGUUGAGCUAAAAUUUAAGUUUGCAGAACUCAUGGUGCUACUGGGAACACCGAAUAUUUCGGAUAUCUUUCCAAUGCUUUCUUGGCUCGACAUACAAGGUAUAGAGAGGAGAGCAAAGAAGAUUUCACUCUGGUUUGAAAAAAUUAUAAAUUCUACUGUUGAAAAGUAUAGAAGCAAGGACUUUAAUGUUGAAGGUAAAGAAAGAGCAGGGGAAAAUUUUGAAGGAUCAAGGAACAAGAACUUCUUGCAGUUACUAUUGGAGCUUCAAGAAAAUGAAGACGGUUCUUCCUCAAUUAGCAUGAACCAAUUUAAGGCCGUACUCGUGGUAUGUUAAGAAACUAGCCGCAAACAGUUAUACAAGCACAGCUGUAUAUUUUGCAUGAGUGAUAUUUUCAACCUUUUUUUUUUAUAAUUAGAAUUUUAUUGUAACCUUUUGGACAGGAUAUAAUUACGGCUGGAACCGACACCACAACUACGAUGGUGGAAUGGACAAUGGCAGAGUUGAUGCAGCAUCCACAAAUAAUGAAGAAAGUUCAGGAAGAAUUAGCUCAAGUUGUGGGCAUGGACAGUUGUGUUGAAGAAUUUCAUUUGCCUAAAUUGAAAUAUUUAGAUGCUGUGGUGAAAGAAUCGUCUCGUCUGCAUCCUGCAGUGCCUUUAUUACUACCACGCAGAGCAAGCGAGAGUGGCAGCAUUGGUGGCUAUAACAUUCCCAAAGAUACAACUAUUAUGUUGAAUGUUUGGGCAAUCCACAGGGACCCUAAACUUUGGGAUAAUCCCUUAGAAUUUCGACCCGAGAGGUUUCUAGAUGAUGGUAUCGCGAGUAAGUUCGAUUACUCAGGUAACAAUUUUCAGUACUUGCCAUUUGGUUCUGGUAGAAGGAUGUGUGCUGGGAUUCCUCUAGCUGAGAGGAUGCUGAUGUUUGUUUUGGCUUCGUUAUUGCACUCAUUUGAGUGGGAAUUGCCAGCUGGCACAAAGCUAAACUUAUCUGAAAAAUUUGGGAUUGUCAUUAAGAAAAAAGAGCCUUUAGUUGCUAUUCCAACACCAAGACUAUCCAAUUCAGAGCUCUACCAUUAAGACAGAAUGGUUGUGAUGAUUUUGUUAAUUUCCGAAGAUUUGUAUGUUAUGUCAAGUUCAAUCGUAAUAAAAUAUUUCAAAUAAGAGUCCUCCGUUGCUUUUUUUUUUUUUUUCAACCGCAUAAUCUGUCGUCAUGCUUGUAUUUGGGGCUACUUUGGAAUAAUUAUGUUUGAAUUACAAUAUAUAAAUAUUACAUUUUAAAAUUUUAUGAGAUUCUAAAUUUAUACACGUUCAAUAACCCACUUCAUAUAUGUUUAACACAAUUUAUAUCAUACAUUGUAUACCCAUUUGUCAUAAAUUACGCUAUUUUAUAUCUCUAAAUAAUAUUACAUAUUGAUAUUAUAAAAUGUUGUUAACUCACGUGUGUAUAUAUAUAUAGCAAGUCACGUGCAUAUAUUAUUGGUUGUUAUAUGUUUGCUAGUUUGAUAGGAUUUCCUUUCCUUGUGAACUAGGGUAAUUCUUAUGUACAUAUAAAUAUUGAUCAAUAAGAGUGCAGAUGAUGACUGCAGUUUUGCAUCGUAGAAAUUCUUCGUAAAAUAUAUAUGUUUAUCAAAAGGCUAUACCAUUCAAUAUAUAUUGGAAAGAGAACAAAGAAGAUCUUCUUAUGGUUUGAAAAUAUUAUGAAUUCUGCUGUUGAACAGUAUGGAAACAAGGUCUGUUGUUAAAGGUGAAGAAGUCACAGGGAACAAUAUUGAAGGAAGAAAUUUCACGUUUAGUUGCUGAAUUUGCCGCUGUAUUCUAUCGGUAGUAAAAAGAUUAGAGUUUUUAUUUUUCUCUAUUAAUGUUAAGUCAAUUUUCUAUAACAAAUUCGGUUGAGUUUAAUUGUGUUACAAUAUAAAUUGAAUGAUAGUAGAAUUUUCAACGAAUAAUUCAAUAUUUCUAUCUCGAUUGUUGAAGUGCCAUUUAUUUGUUAUACGAUCGAUUUUAAAAUUUAUAAAAUUAUUUGUUACUAAAUUGCAUCAUAUGCUAAAUCACCUGAAACCUAAUUUCAUAACUAACCCUUUAUUUUUAGUUCUCAAGAAAUCUUGUAAGAACAAAAUUCUUUUGUAACAAAACGUUUACAACAAAUUAAUUUGUAACUCAUUCCUGUGCGAGAAUCACUCUCAAUUUCCUUCAAUUGCUGUUUAACAAUCAUCUGCUUAUCAAAAUUCAAGCAUAAUCUUUUUUUUUAAUUUCUUCAUCAUUCUUUUGAAAAAAAAAAUCAGGAUAUGCUGUUAAAUUUUGAAAUAAAUUAUCUCAAAAUAAUUACUAACCAGAAAAAACAAAGGGGUUUAACUAGGUUAUGCAUACCUUUGAAAAUUAUAUGUUGAUCGAUAAGAAUGAUGAUCACGAUUGACGAGUUUAAUUAAAAUAUAUAAGAUUUUAAAAUUAAUCAGGGUUAAAUUGUGAAUUUUAGAAAGAGAGGUUUUGUGAGAAUGUUGAAAGGGUGUUAAUAGUUCCACUCUUUUUAAAAACAACCAUAGUCAUCAUUUUUCCAUGGUUGUUUUUAAAAAGAGUAUUUCUUCUUCCCAUCUCCAUCUUAUUUAGAAAUUUCCCAGAGCCUUUGUUUCCCACCUUUCAUUUUUCUUCUUUCUAAUUUAAUAAUCCACCCUUCUUGUAUUCAAACUAAAAAAUUAAAAUCUGAAAAUUUAAAACCCAAUAUUAUAGUAUUAUAAAAAUAAUUACUCACAUUUUAUCAAACACCUCCAUUCUUCCAAGGCCUUGUUUUAGUAGUAGGCUUUUAUUAUCUCAAUAAAAUUGAAAAAAAAAAUCUCAAUAAUAUUGGAAAAAAACCCUACCCAUAUUUGUAACUUUAAUUUAUUAUUCUCCAUAGACCUACUUUUUAGUUUUGAAUUUUGUUGGAGCCAUAUAUAAACAGAAUAUGUUGAAAUCAGCACCCAAAAAAAAAAAAACUAAUUAUAUAAUUUAUGUUCCCAAGGACAUGGCUGAGUGAUUUUCAAGAAGUUUUGUUUGGCUGGCCACUUAGGUUUAAAUCUUGGUGGAGAUUAAGGGUUAAGAAAUAAAUUUAGACUUUGCACACCCCUUUAACUUUUAAAAAGAAAUGAAAAAAUUAAUUAAUUAAUCUUUAUUUUAUUUAUUAAAUGUCAUAAUCCUAUGCGUAUUUUAUUUGUUAUCUUUCUAUUUAAAAGACGAGGGCAGAUAAAACUGAAAUAAAUUUUUAGCCCUAUCUCCAUAUUUCAAGUUCCAUAGUUAGGUGACCAGCUAAAAAAAAUUAAUUGAAAGCUACUCCAUCAAAUUAAAAAAAUUUAUUUAUUUAAUUUGUGGAGAUGUAGAAAAUCAAACCCCAUACCUUUUCGCAUACACUGAACAUAUUUUAAUACAUGACUAUCAUCCUUUAUCCUAAAUACUACUAUAACUAAUAACAUACAAUUGAAAUAAUUAAUGUUAACACUUGGCUAUAAAUAAAGGUUUUGUGCUUGAAUCUUCACGCAUGACCUUCAUUCCUUUAUUGACUUUGCUAACACAGAUUUUGAGGCAUUAAAACUAAAUAAUAAUUGACUUUGUGGGCCGAGGAUGCCAGCAACAAGGAGACCACAAUUAUCACUUAAGUUACUCUAAUUGCCGUUGUCUUAUAUUCAUAGAAUAUUAGUAAUAAGAUUAUUGCAGAAUUUUUUUAAUAUUAAAAUUAAGUCAAUUUGUUAUAACAAAUUUAGUUGAGUUUAAUCGUGUUACUACAUAAAUUGAAUAAUAAUAGAAUUCUCGACAAAUAUUUCAAUAUUUUUAUCCCAAGCGUUGGAGUGGCAUUUAUUUGUUAUACGAUCGAUUUUAGAACUUAUAAAAUUAUUCGUUACUGAAUUGCACCAUAUGCUGCAUGACCUGAAACUUAAUAAACGGAAUGUAGCGUUGGCACCGUUACUCAACAUACUGUUACGACUUUGUGACAUUAGAAUUAAAAUCUUUUGCACAUUUAAUUUGUUUACUUCAAAAUUAAUAUUUAACAAAAUAUUUUUUUCACAUUAUCAAUGGACAAAACUCCAACGAAAAUAACUACACAAGAAAAAUGUAUGCUAGUAUUGUGUGCCAUAUCAUCUGUAAUUUUGUCAGGAUCGAACACUCUAAUUUUUAAGCAGAACUUUUUAUCAAUGGACAAACACCUCACACAGCUUGUCAGAGGCAUUAUUAUGAUAGAAAACUGUAAUGGUAUAUCUUGAAUUAUUGGUAGAAUAGUUCUUUGGAGCAAUAAAAAUAGAUAAGACAGAUGAGAAAAUUGUCAAUACCCCACCGCAAAAGCAAAAGAAAAAAAGGAAAGGAGACAAAAGAGGAAGAAGAAAAAAAGGAAAGGAGACAAAAGAGGAAGAAGAAAAAGAAAAAAGAACGAAGAAAAAAAUGGUGCCGCGCUGUAUUGGGAAGAAGAAAAAAAUUAAUAAAAUAAUAAUAAAUAAUAAAUAAUAAAUAAUAAAAUAAUAGUGCACAACAAUCAUUUGAUUGCUAUAAAUAAAGGGGCAUUUUCCUCAUUUUAUUCAUCGAAUUCUUCAGUUCCUUUCAAGCGAUUUAAGAGUCUAGUGAUUUGAGAGUUUGGGAGUAUUGUGAUUUUGAGUACUAAGUUAAAAUACUAUAAUACUUGUAACUCAUUUUCACUAGUAAAAUAUUUUUCUUCUGUCUUCGCCCGUAGACGUAGGCUAAAAGCUGAACCACGUAAUUUCUGGUGUCCCUAUGUGAUUAUGUGUCUCAUUAUUUCUCAAUUUUACUUUAGUUACGUGUCUGCUACACCCUUCAAUUUACUAACAAAAAUGGCCAAAAUUAUAUAAGUGACCCAAAUUUUUUUGCUAUUUCCAAGAAAUCCCCAAUCGGAAUAGACCAAACUAGAGGGAGGCAAGUUAGAAAUACGUUUCCUUCAUAAACAAUAACAGCGAUGAGUCGAUGACAUCGAGCCACGUCGGUAUCAAUAUUGAAUUAAAGGUGCAAUUAUUCAGCCAAUGAGCCUUACACAUCAAGAUAAAAGUCAAGAAAAUGAAAAAUUUAUCCUAAUUAAAACACUUUCUGGCUGCAUUUAGCUGUUUCUAUUUGAAGUUAAAAACAACAUUUCUUUCGUUUUGUGGGCAACUCGACUGAGUUCGCUGGCUUCUAGUGCUAGUAUGUGAAAAUAGAAGGCUAAUGAUUUAUUUGUUAUCUUUUGACAAAAAAUGUUAAAGAUAUAAUAGAUUUUCCAUGAUACAAAUGAAAAAUUAUAUCAACAUAACUUCCAAGCUACAGCAGCUAGUGUUUACCAAACACUUUGCUGUAGCUUUUAAGCUACAGCUGCCCAACCUCAAUAGGUUGAUUGAAUUUGUGGGAUAUAGAUUCCACAUAUCUCAUGACCUAUUAAUUAUACAAGUGGUUCUUGAUCAAGAACAACAUUUGCUUCCGACCCAGUAACCCAGCAACUGCUGCACUGGUCGCCACCUAUGGUGCCGACGAUAUUGCAUGGUCCAAUUAUGGCCUUGAAUGGAAAAAGUUGAGCAAAUUAUUUGUGGGCACGAUGAUAAGUAACGCAAGCCUUGAUGCUAGUUAUGGUCGAAGAAAACAAGAGGUUAAGAAUACUAUCAGAGAUAUGCAUAACAACAAAAAGGAAAAAAAAAAAAAAAGGCAUUGGCAAGUCAAUUGAUAUUGCUGAAUUGUCGAUUUCAACUUUGGCAUGUGUAAUUCAGACAUUGCGCGUUGUGGUAUGGCGCUGGCACGCUUGCAUUGCCGAGAGGACAAAUCUUGGGGCUGGGCUAAAAUUUAGGCUUGUAGAACUCAUGGUGCUAAUGGGAACGCCAAAUUUUUUUAACAUAUUUCGGUGCUUUCAUGGUUUAAUUCAAGGUAUAGAAAGGAGUGUUGAGAAUGUCAAAUAAAACGACAUUGAAUGGAAGUUGUCAAAGACAUGAUCCGCACUGAACGGCAAUGACACGGUUGGUAAAGAUUUUUUCAUAAUAUGCGUAUCUAAUUUUUGAAAAAUUGUAACCUCUGCUUCUAUAAAUAUGCUCAAUGUAUAAUGUUUUACUUAAGAAAUGAAAAACUUAAUUCUUUAUGGUAUCAGAGCGAGGCUCGUUGCUCUGUUUGUAACAAAAACAAAGAAAACUAAAUUCUUCCCACAACUAUUUUUCCACCUUUUUUUCUUCCUUAAAAGCAUUCCUAGCAUUACAGAAACCCAUGCCAAUAAAAGAACAAGCCACACAUAUGUAAAAACUUUAGUUUACAAAUCUAUCAACAUCCCCAUAAAUUUUCCCAAAAAGUGAUCUUCAAAAACCAAAAAUACCAUCAAUUUUCGCAUCUUCUAGUAAACAAACUAUAAAAGUUUCGCACUCAAACAGAGCCACACGCGCCUCCACGCGCUUCCCGGAAUCACGGCCAACCACCACGCGCCUCUGUCACCACCAACUCACCCUCAUGCGCUCCAGAUGUUGCAGAAGACGCAAAACGACGUGUCGUUUUCUUCUCUAAAAGUGCAGCAACGUGGAAAUGACUUUUUGUUUUUGCCUUAAAUUGUUUUUCCUCGUUUGAAGCUAUACAACAUUUUUCUUUCUAAACCUGUUUUUUACAAUAAAAAAAGAAAAAAAUGGAGAAAACUCCAACUGAAUCUACUCAUGUUGUCAUUCAAUCUGUUCAACCUGAUGGAGUAUUUAAUGCCGAAAUUAUCCUUACUAAGACAAACUACGAUAUUUGAUCUCAAAUAAUGGAGAUGCAUCUCGCAGAAAGAAAAAAACUCCCAUAUAUUCGUAGCAGCAUAAAUCCAUCUGACAAAUUUUCAAAGAAAUAUGAGAAAUGGUAUAGUGAGAACCAAAAAGUAAAAAGAUGGUUACUCAUAACCAUGUGUCCUGAGAUCAUGAAGCGAUAGUUACAAAUUCCUACAGCCUACGAAAUUUAGAAUGCAUUAUCAAAAGCCUUUUAUAAUGGAAGCGAUGAAAUACAAGUUUUCACUCUAAAUCAGAAGGCGUUCUCUACGAAGCAAAAUGGACAACCACUCUCUAAAUUCUACGGAGAAUUGAUCAAAAUGUUUCAAGAACUUAAUCACCGAGAUAAAGUGGUCAUGAAGGAUCCAGAAGAUGUUAUAAUAUAUAGGAAGUUUGUUGGAAGAUUGAGAGUGCACAUUUUUCUUGCUGGACUAGAUGAAGAAUUUGACCAAGUUUGUGGAGAAAUUCUACGAAAAGAUACUAUCCUAGACUUAAAAGAAUGUUAUUCUCUAAUCCGAAAAGAAGAUGUACGGCAAAGCAAACUAACAAGAAGGUGGACGACUCAGAAACGUCUGCUAUGAUACCACAAGAGAACAAUGUUUUGAAAUUGUUCGAUAUCCUGACUGGUGGGAUACUCGAAGUAAUAACACAAAGCAGAGAUAAAAAACUGCAGUAGCUGAAUCCACAUCCACUACAGAUCUUAGAAAAGAAUCUUCAGCGCAAAUUGCAACCUCUGUCAAUUCAGGUAAGGUCAUUAAAACUCUUACAUUUGUUAUUAAUAGUAUAUGGAUAAUUGAUUAUGGUGCAACUGAUCAUAUGACUUUUGAUUCUUGACAAGUUUCUUAAUUGAAACCAUCUUCACAUAAACAUGUUUCUACUGUAAAUAGAACCACAACCUCAGUUAUUGGGGAAGGAUCUUUACAACUCACAAUUAAAUCAAAUUUAGACUUUGUGUUAAUUGUUCCAUCUUUAAAUUAUAAUCUUUUAUAUGUGUCUCAAAUAACCUCUUACUUAUCAUGUGUUGUAAUGUUUUGGCCCGAUCAUUGCAUGUUUAAGGACAUCCAAAUGAAGGAAACGAUUGGUUAUGAUAUUAAAUAAGGCAACUUGUAUUACCUGGAGAUGACAUCAACAAACACUGAAAAGCUAAGCCCCGCAUUAGUAGCAGACAAUUCCAUGAAAAAAAAGGAAAUAAGAAAUUUGGUUAUGGCAUAGACGAUUAGGGCAUGUGUCAUUUGAUUUCUUAAAAAAAUUGUUUCCUAGUUUGUUUCUGAAAUUUGAUAUUUGUAACUUUAAAUAUGAUGUUUGUGAACUUUCAAAUAGCCAUCGAACUACUUUUCCAUUGUCCUUAAAUAAGAAUCCAAUUCCUUUAAUGGUAGUACAUUCUGAUGUAUAGAGACCAUCUAAAGUUUCUACCAUUGGAAGAGCUCGUUGGUUUGUUACAUUUAUUGAUGAUUGUAGCAGAAUGACAUGGAUUUUUUUAUGAAAUUAAAAUCAUAUGAUGGUGACAACUCUAUUUCAGACACAAAUUUGAGUUCUACAUACUGAUAAUGGAGGCGAGUAUAUGAGCACAACAAUUCAACAGUUUUUGAAAUCACAAUGAACUCACCACCAAACCACUUGUGUGGGGACACUCCAACAAAAUGGCGUUGCUAAACAAAAAAAUAGACAUUUACUAGAAGUUGUUCAAGCAUCACUAAUUUAGGCCCGCAUGCCACUAUUUUAUUGGGGAGAAGCAUUGGCAUCCGUAGCAUACUUGAUCAAUCGGACACCUUCAAUCUUCCUUGGAUUCCAAACUUAUUUUCUAGUUCUAAAUGAAGAAUUAUGUCAUCAAAUGUGUCGAAUUUACCCCCACAUAUGUUUGGUUGUGUUGCCUUCGUUCAUUUGCCAUGACAAGAUAAAUUAUCUCCUCGAGCACUACGUUGUGUGUUUGUAGGGUAUGCCUUACAUCAAAAGGGGUACCGAUGCUAUCAUCCUCUAUUAAGAAAAAAUAUACAUCACCAUGGACAUAAUCUUUCAUGAAGAUAUCAUGUAGUACCCAUCGGAGCUUGAAUUUCAGAGGGAGUAUAAUGAAGAGGAAAUUCAUACUCUUACAUAUCUUUCACCUGAAGAAGAUCAAUCCUCCAUUGAGGUAGUAAACGUUCAAGAUACUGGAAAAGAAAACGACAAUGAUUCUCAGGCUGAGACAAGUGAAGACACAUUUAGGGAGCAAAAUAACUCAGACAUAACCACAAUCGAGAACGAGUCCAUGAAGAGCCACAUGAAGAAAUAUCUAACCAAUCAUCUGCAGAGGAUGAUCCUACCACAAAUCCCAGUCUAAUCAGAAGAAUACUUCCCCAGCAUCAAAAUAGAGGUAUCUCUAAACCCACAUAUAAGACUGACCUCUCUAGUAGAGUCAAAUACCCUAUGAGUCAUUUUGUAUCUAACCAUGGCUUAUCAAAAUCAAAUCAGUCAUUUGUGAAUCAAUUAUCUACUGUGUCUAUUCCUAACAGUGUGCAAUAAGCCUUAAAAUAUCGAAAGUGGAAAGGGCUAUGAAUGACGAAAUGAGAUCUCUUUAAAAAAAAUCAAACAUGGGAACUAAUUGAUCUUCCACCAGGAAAGAAACCAGUGGGUUGCCGAUGGAACUAGUUGAUCAUCCACCUCCAUUCUGACAAGCAAUGUUUAUCAGCAAUAACAAAUGACUGAAGCAUUUUAAUGAGGUUAGUAACGAAAAAGAGUUUAAUUAGAGAAUAUUAUAAGAGAAAUUCUAAUUUUUGAUUUUUAAUAAAUUAAAAUAUCUUAAAAUAUUAUUAGUUGGUGGUGGUUUCAUGUCAGAUUAAGACGUGACACCUUACUAAUGAGGUCGAGACAAUUAGCUUAAAUUAUUUCAAUGCAUUUGAAAUUUCCACUAAUGACUAUAAUUCUUUGUCCUAAUUACUAUGAUAAUUAAUAACAUACAAUUGAAAUAGUUAAUAUUAGCACUUGGCAAUAAAUAAUUAAAUUUCAUUAACACUAAAUAAUAAUUGAAUAUGGCUUUGUACAUCGAUGACGCCAGCAACAAGGGGACCGCGAUUAUCACUCUUUAAGUUGCUUUUAAAAUUGAUUUUAGUAGUGAUAUGAUUAUUGUAGUGUUUUUAUUUUUUAUAUUAAAAUUAAGUGAUUUGUUAUAAUAAACUUAGUUGAGUUUAAUGGUAUUACUACAUAAAUUGAAUAGUUAUCAAAUAUUUUAAUAUUUUUAUGGCAAGCGUUGACGUGGCAUUUAUUUGUUGUAUGAUGGAUUUUAAAAUUUAUAAAAUUAUUUGUUAUUAAAUUACCCCCAGAUGCUACAUCACCUGAAACUUAAUAAAGGUAUGAAGACAUGUGUGUGUGGACUGAAAUGAAGAAUAUGGAAAAGUUGAGAGCUGUUGUGCAGAUUGAGUUCAGUUGAUGGGGUCUAUUAGAUAUUGUCUGCUGACGUGGCAUGAAUUCGUUAUAAUCUGUUAUAACGAGUUCAGUAUAUCAGUAUACAAUAGAGCUGAUGGAUGGUGCCUGUUUUAGAGUCUUUUUUAUAUUCAUUUGUUCAUCAUUUUGCGCAAGAUCUGUUCCAUUGUGAUAUGUGUAAAGUCUUAUGUAAACCCACUUAUGAUUGGAUUAGUUCUUGAUUAAUAACAACGAGUAAAUUUUCCUUCAAGUGUGCUGGUCUGUGCCCCUGUUUUUUGUUCUGAUAUUGUUUCUUUGUUCUGGCAUUUCAUUUCGAUUGUGUUCUUGGUGUUUCUACUCAUCAAGAUUUAUGAGUCUUGUUGAGAUUAAAGACUUAAUAGUCUUAACAAGUGGUAUCAGAGCCUGGUGAAUCUCAGCCAUGUCUCUUUCGAAGCAUGAAAUUGAAAAAUUCACCAUUGGUGGUGAUUUCUCGCUUUCGAAAUUAAAAAUGAGGGCUCUCCUUGUGCAUUAGAGGCUUGAAUUUGCUCUGGAAAAAGAUAAUCUAGAGGCUGCUACAAGUUAUGUGACUGAUGAUAAGAAGAGACAAAUCCAAAACCGAGCUCGUAGCACUCUAGUUUUGAGUCUUGGUGACUCAAUCUUGAGAAAGAUUUCUGAAGAGAAGACAACCUUAGGGAUUUGGAACAAGGUAGAAGCUUUGUGUACAAAGAAGUCGCUAGCUCACAGACUAUUCUUGAAGAAAAAGUUAUACACAUUCUCGAUGAGAGAAGGAGUCACAAUUCAAGAUCACAUUGAUACCUUCAACAAGAUCAUUCUUGAUCUUGAAGGGGUGGAAAAUGUGACAAUAAGUGAUGAAGAUAAAGCCUUCUUCUUGUUGAGUUCCUUACCAAAGUCUUAUGAAGGCUUUGUAGAUACAAUGCUUUAUGGCAGAACAACAUUGACUCUUGAAGAUGUUAAAGCAUCUCUAAGUUCAAAAGAGAUUCAGAAGAACAAUGAGAUUGAAACAAAUAAUGGUGAUGGGCUGAUUGCCAGAUCAGAAAAGAAGAAAGAUCAGAAGAAUAAAAAUCAGGGAAAAUGACAUGGAAAGAAUUAAGAAAAUGCAGACAAGAAGAAAAAGAAGAGAAAAUGCUUCUACUGCCGGAAGGAAGGGCAUUACAUCAGGGAUUGUCUUAAAAAGAAAAAAAAAGAAAGUCAAGAGAAGUCAGGGGAUGCAGCUGUAGCCUCUGAUGAUGCCUCUGAUGGAUAUCACAUUGCUGAUUUACUUGUGGCCUCAAAUAGCAAUACUAAAGGUCAGUGGGUCAUAGACUCUGAGUGCUCUUUUCACUUGUGGCCUGAUAAAACCAUAUUUUACAAAUAUGAAGUUGUUGAUGGUGGUAGAGUCUUAAUGGGAAAUAAUAAUGUGUGUAAUCUUGUUGGUAUUGGUUCUGUGAAGAUCAAGAUGUUUGAUGGAACUGUAAGAGCUCUACAUGAGGUGAGGCAUGCUCCUAGGCUAAAGAGAAAUCUAAUCUCUUUAGGCAUGCUAGACAGCUUAGGGUAUUUCUUUAAAUCAGAAAGUGGUGGUUUAGAGAUAAGAAAGGGGACUGAGAUAGUGAUGAAGGGGGUUAAAGAAAAUGGCUUAUAUGUAUUGUAAGGCUCAUCAGUGCUUCUUCAAAAGGGAAUUUCUGCUCUUUUUGAGGAAGAUAUAACCAAGUUAUGACAUCUUAGACUUGGUCAUAUGAGUGUCAAAGGGAUGUAAGAGCUCAGCAAACAAGGGCUACUUGGUGGGGAUAGAAUCCAGCAACUGGAAUUAUGUGAAAAUUGCAUUUUUGGCAAAGCUCACAGGUCCAAGUUUCACAAGGGGGAGCAUAUGUCUAAGCAAGUUUUGGACUAUGCACAUGCUGACCUUUGGGGGCCUGCUCAAGUCCCAUCCUUGAGUGGUGGCAGGUAUUUCAUAUCACUAAUUGAUGAUUACUCAAGGAAGAUGUGGGUCUACAUACUCAAGACCAAAGAUCAAGCCUAGGAAAAAAUUCAAGGUAUAGAAAUCUUUGGUAGAAAAUCAAUUUGGAUUCAAGCUCAAAUGCUUGAGAACUGAUAAUGGUUUGGAAUUUUGUAGCAAAGAAUUUGAGGAAUAUUACAAAAAAACAUGGCAUAAAAAGGCACAAAACAGUCAGGUUCACCCCCCAGCAGAAUGGCUUGGCUGAAAGGAUGAACAUGACCUUGGUAGAUAAGACCAGAUGUAUGUUGAUAAAUUCAAAGCUUCCAAGAAGCUUUUGGGCAGAAGCUGUCAAUACAACAAGUUGUUUGGUUAACAGAAGCCCAUAUUCUGCAAUUGGCUUCAAAACACCAGAAGAAUUGUGGAAGGAAAAACCUGUAAAUUACCAAAAUCUCAGUGUUUUUGGAUGCCCUGCUUAUCUCCACAUCAAUCAAGGCAAGCUGGAAGCUAGGGCCUUGAAAGGAGUCUUUGUUGGAUAUCCUGAUGGGGUUAAGGGAUACAUAAUCUGGUGUAGAGAGUAAGGGAAGUGUAUAGUCAGCAGGGAUGUUGUGUUUCAUGAAUUUGGAUUGCUAAAAGAAAAUGCAGAGAAUGAUACUAGACUACAAAAUGAUUCAAUAAUUAUCAAACAAUCUGGAACUUCCAAGGUUAAGGUGGAGCUGUUUGGAAAUAAAGACAGUAGAAAAGAGGUAGCUGAUUAUGAAGAGAGGACCACAGCUAAAGUUGAGGAACAUGAGUCAUCAGAGUUGCCACAAGCUGACUUGCAGACUUAUCAGUUAGCAAGAGAUAGAGUUAGAAGAGAAGUCAAAGCACUAGUGAGGUAUGGCUAUGCUGACUUAAUUACUUAUGCAUUGUUGUGUGCUGAUGAUGUGGCAAUUGAAGAGCCUGCUAACUUCUCUGAAGUUAUUGAAAGUGUGCAUUGUGAUAAGUGGCUUGAGGCAAUGCAAGAUGAAAUGGGAUCCCUUCAAAGAAAUCAGACCUGGACACUUGUUCCAAAUCUAGGUAAUAAAAAGUUGAUCAGUUGUAAGUGGAUCUUCAAGAAGAAUGAAGGAAUUCCAGAUGUUGAACCUCCCAAAUAUAAAGCAAGGCUAGUGGCUAGGGGGUUUACACAGAGAAAGAGUGUAGAUUUCAAUGAAAAAUUUUCCCCUGUUCUUAAGCACAUUUCAAUAAGAAUUUUAUUAGUCAUGGUAGCCUUACUUGACUUGGAGCUUGAGCAAAUGGAUGUAAAAACAGCAUUCCUUCAUGGUAAUCUUGAAGAACAGAUAUUGAUGGCACAACCUAAAUGUUUUGAGUGCAAAGGAAAUGAGGAUUAUGUUUGUUUGCUGCAUAAGUCCUUGUAUGGACUCAAGCAAUCCCCACGACAGUGGUACAUAAGAUUUGAUGAUUUUAUGGUCUCAAAAGGCUAUCACAUAAGCAAAUAUGACAGUUGUGUUUACUUUGGUGGAUCAUAUCAAGGUGGAGUUGCUUAUUUGCUUCUGUAUGUUGAAGAUAUGUUAAUUGCAAGAAAAUAUAAGUUGGAGAUAGAGAGGUUGAAGAAAUGAAGGAUCUCGGCAAUGCCAAAAGAAUCCUUGGGAUGAACAUUACAAGGGGCAGAUCUGCUGACACUUUGUUCUUGAGUCAUGAGAAAUAUAUCAAGAAGGUUCUGGAGAGGUUUGAGAUGCAAGACUAUAAACCUGUCCAAACACCACUUGGUCCCCAAUUCAAGUUGACAGCAGCUCAAUCAUCAGAAGAUGAGUCUCAGGUGAGUGAAUUCCCAUAUGCACAGGUUGUAGGGAGCCUGAUGUAUGUAAUGGUAUGCACCAGGUCAGAUAUAGCUUAUGCAGUAAGUGUUGUCAGCAAAUUUCUCAGUUGUCUAGGCAAGGUUCACUGGAAUGUUGUAAAAUGGAUAAUGAGAUAUCUUAAGGGCUCUUUUACUUGUGGUUUGCUGUAUGGGAAGACUAAGAGUGACAUAAGUGAAGUCCUGGGGUUUGUAGACUCUGACUUUGCUGGAGAUCUUGAUAGAAUGAAGUCAACCUCAGGGUAUAUGUUUGUGUUAAACAGUUGCCUGAUUAGCUGGAAGUCAUCACUUCAGUCUGUGGUUGCUUUAUCCUCAACUGAAGCUGAGUUUGUUGCAACUACAGAGGCAGUAAAAGAGGCCAUGUGGCUAAGAGGUUUGCUUAAUGAGUUAUGGUUAAAUCAGAAAAUUGUUCAGGUUUUCUGUGAUAACCAAAGUGUCAUACACCUGGUAAAGAAUCAGAUGUAUCAUGAAAGAACCAAGCACAUUGAUGUGAAGCUCCAGUUUAUCAGAGAUGAGGUUGGAAAAGGAACUAUAAUUGUGUCCAAGAUCUAUACCAGUGUGAAUCCAACUGAUGUUAUUACAAAAGCACUUCCCACUGCAAAAUUUGAAUUCUAUGUGAAUCUAAUGGGCAUCUCGCCCAAACCUAACUAAAUUCAAUAGUGAAUUGUAGUUGAAUGAAGGUUUUUUAGGUGCUGUGUUAUUGAAAGGAUCAACUGAAUCAACUGCAAGGUGGAGAAUGUGAAGAUGUGUGUGUGGACUGAAAUGAAGAAUAUGAAAAAGUUGAGAGCUGUUGUGCAGAUUGACUUCAGUUGAUGGGGUCUAUUAGAUAUUGUCUGCUGACGUGGUAUGAAUUCGUUAUAAUCUGUUAUAACGAGUUCAAUAUAUCAGUAUAUAAUGGAGCUGAUGGAUGGUGCCUGUUUUAGAGUCUUUUUCGUAUUCAUUUGUUCAUCAUUUUGCACAAGAUUUGUUCCAUUGUGAUCUGUGUAAAGUCUUCUGUAAAUCCACUCAUGAUUGGAUUAGUUCUUGAUCAAUAACGAGUAAAUUUUCCUUCAAGUGUGCUGGUCUGUGCCCCUGUUUUUGGUUCUAAUAUUGUUUCUUUGUUUUGGCAUUUCAUUUCGAUUGUGUGCUUGGUGUUUCUACUCAUCAAGAUUUGUGAGUCUUGUUGAGAUUAAAGGCUUAAUAGUCUUAACAAAAGGGAAUGUAGCAUUGCCAUUAAUCAACAUUCACUCUUAUGACUUUAUGACAUUAGAAUUAAAAUCUUUCGUACAUUUAAUUUAUUUGCUUCCAAAUUAAUCUUUAAUAAAUAUUUUUUCACAUUAUCAUCAAUGGACAAAACUCCAACGAAAAUAACUACACGAGAACAAUUUAUGCUAGUAUUAAAUGCCACGAUAUCUAUAACUUUGUCUGGAUCGAUCAUUCUAAUUUUUUCGCAGAACUUUUUGUCAAUGGACAAACACCUCACAGAGCUUGUCAGCCGCAUUAUUACGAUGUAAAAUUGUACCGGAAUAUCUUGAAUUAUUAGUAGAAUAAUGAAGACUAUUUGGGGCAAUAAAAACAAAUAACGCAGAUAAAAAAAUGGCUAAAAUUAUGUAAGUGAGCCCCAAAGUUUUUGCUAUUUCCAGGAAAUCCCAAAUUUGAAUGGACUAGAGGGAGGCACGUAAGAAAUACAUUUUCUUCCUAGACAAUGACAGCUAUGACAUCAAGCCACGGUGGCGUCAGUAUUGAAAUUAAGGUGUAAUUAUUCAGCCAAUGAGCCUUACACAUCAAGAUAAAAGUCAAGAUAAUGAAAAUUUGGCUGUUUCCAUUUGAAGUUAAAAGCAACGUUUCUUUCGUUUUGUGGGCGACUCGACUGAGCACGCCCCAAUAGCUAUAUUUAGGGCGUCAAUUUGAUAUUUGAAUGGACAGGCAAGUAAGAAAUACAUUUCCUUCAUAGACAAUGACAACGAGGACAUCAAGCCACAUCAUUAUAGUUUGUAGCCCAUCUACAUUUAAACGAUUAAUAAACAAGCUUAGGUGUGCCACUGCUAUUAUUAAUUAUCCCCUGAUCAUUAUAGUUUCUGAAACAGUAAAACUAAACGAAAUUGAAUACAUCAACGAGACCGCAAUUAUCACUUGUUUAGUUGCGGUAUUUAACUUAAUUUUAAUAUAAUAUAUUUGUUAGUUAAACUUUUAAUAAUCAAAUAAUUUUGAUUUAAAAAUAAAAUUAUAGAAAUUAUUAAUUAUUAAUUAUUAAAAAUUCACAAUUAAGGGAACGUUCAUCAAACACACAUAGCUAUUGUUUUCUCUAUAUAUUGCAGUGUGUACGAUAUUGAGGGUUGAAGCCCCAAGCAUGCUCUAAAAUCCAGAUAAUAAUUAGAUCCGGGCCAAAUAUUCAUCAUUGUGUCAGCUGAUCAGUCGGUGGACAUCUCUAUUGAAAAUAUCUCUGACAUUUCACUCGACAAACUUAUUAAUAUAAAAAAUCUGUGGUUUUGCCGUCUGAAUAAUGUAGAAAAAUUUGUCUAUGCAUUAAUCUAGAUGUUUGAGGUGAUUUAUACAUCUGUGGUAAAGAUUUAUAGGUUGACUUAGACGUCUGUGGUAUAGAUUUUAUGUAUUUCAUUACAAAAUGCUGGCCGUUAGAACCCUUUCUACAUCUAUUUAUAAGAUUAACGGGUGCCAGCUAUGCCAUUACAAAUUAUCCCCUCAUCAGAUAUUUCGUUAAAAUUCAUUCUGAAACACUAAAACUAAAUAAUCGAAUAUGGCUUUGCGGGUCGAUGAUGCCAGCAGCAAUGAGACUGCAAUUAUCACUUGUUUAGUUUCUGUGCUGGCCGUGGUUUACUUCGCAUGGAAUGUGAAAAAAUCAAGGAAAGCAAAUGCUACACUGCCACCAGGACCUCGCGGCUUGCCUGUAUUCGGAUACCUCCCAUUUCUUGGAACUACUGACUUGCACAAGAAAUUCACGGAAUUAUCCGGAGUUUAUGGUCCGAUCUUCAAGCUUUGGCUUGGAAAUAAAUUAUGUGUAGUGGUGAGCUCACCUUCCCUAAUUAGACAAGUGGUUCGUGAUCAAGAUACAACAUUCGCGAACCGUGACCCACCGAAGGCUGCACUAGUGGUCUCCUAUGGUGGCAAUGAUAUUGCAUGGUCCAAUUACGGUCCCGAAUGGAGAAAGUUGCGCAAAUUUUUUGUGGGCAAGAUGAUGAAUAACGCAAGCCUUGAUGCUUGUUAUGCUCUAAGAAGACAAGAGGUUAAAAAUACUAUCAGGGAUUUGUAUAACAACGACAACAAAAUUGGCAAGCCCAUUGACAUUGGUGAAUUGUCGUUUUCAACAUUGGUAUGUGCUAUACAGAACAUGCUGUGGGGUGAAGCGCUUGAAUUAAAAGAGAAAGGGACCACUAAUCUUAGGGCUGGGCUAAAAUUUAAGCUGGCAGAACUCAUGGUGCUUGCGGGAACACCGAAUAUUUCGGAUGUCUUUCCAAUGCUUUCAUGGCUUGACAUACAAGGUAUAGAGAGGAGAGCAAAGAAGAUUUCACUCUGGCUUGAUAAUGUUAUAAAUUCUACUGUUGAACAGCAUAGAAACAAGGAGUUAACUGUUGAAGGUGAAGAAAGAGCGGGGAAAAAUUUUGAAGGAUCAAGGAACAAGAACUUCUUGCAGUUACUAUUGGAGCUUCAAGAAAAUGAUGACAGUGCUUCCUCAAUUAGCAUGAACCAAUUCAAGGCCGUACUCGCGGUAUGUUAAGCAACUAGCCACGAACAGUUAUACAAGCACAAUUGUAUAUUUGCAUGAGUGAUAUUUUCAACCUUUUUUUUUAAUUAGAAUUUUAUUGUCACCUUUUGGACAGGAUAUAAUUACGGCUGGAACCGACACCACAACUACGAUGGUGGAAUGGACAAUGGCAGAGUUGAUGCAGCAUCCACAAGUAAUGAAGAAAGUUCAGGAAGAAUUAGCUCAAGUUGUGGGCAUGGACAGUUGUGUUGAAGAAUUUCACCUGUCUAGAUUAAUGUAUUUAGAUGCUGUGGUGAAGGAAACAUUUCGUCUGCAUCCUGCAGUGCCUUUAUUACUACCACGUAGGGCAAGCGAGAGUGGCAACAUUGGUGGCUAUACCAUUCCCAAAGAUACAACUCUUAUGUUGAAUGUUUGGGCUAUCCACAGGGACCCUCACCUUUGGGAUAAUCCCUUAGAAUUUCGACCCGAGAGGUUUCUGAAUGUUGGUAUCGAGAGUAAGUUCGAUUACUCAGGUAACAAUUUUCAGUACUUGCCAUUUGGUUCUGGUAGAAGGAUGUGUGCUGGGAUUCCUCUAGCUGAGAGGAUGCUGAUGUUUGUUUUGGCUUCGUUAUUGCACUCAUUCGAGUGGGAAUUGCCAACUGGCACAAAGCUAAACUUAUCAGAAAAAUUUGGGAUUGUCAUUAAGAAAAAAGAGCCUUUGGUUGCUAUUCCAACACCAAGACUAUCCAAUUCAGAGCUCUACCAUUAAGACCAAAUGGUUGUGAUGAUUUUGUUAAUUUCCGAAGAUUUGUAUGUUAUUUCAAGUUCAAUCGUAGUAAAAUAUUUCAAAUAAGAGUCCUCCGUUGCUUUUUUUUUUUUUUUUCAACGGCAUAAUCUGUGGUCAUGCUUGUAUUUGGAGCCACUUUAGAAAAAUUAUGUUUGAAUUACAAUUUAUAAAUAUUACAUUUUAAAAUAUUAUGAGGCUAAAUUUAUACACGUUCAAUAACCCGCUUCAUAUAUAUUUAACACAAUUUAUAUCAUACAUUGUACACCCAUUUAUCAUAAAUUACACUAUUUUGUAUCUCUAAAUAAUAUUACGUAUUGAUAUUAUAAAAUAUAUAUGGAAAAGAGAACAAAGAAGAUUUCUUAUGGUUUGAAAAUAUUAUGAAUUCUGCUGUUGAACAGUAUGGAAACAAGGUCUCUGUUGUUAAAGGUGAAGAAGCAACAGGGAACAAUAUUGAAGGAAGAAAUUUCACAUGUUUAGUUGCUGAAUUUGCCGCUGUAUUCUAUCGGUAGUAAAAAAAUUAGAGUUUUUAUUUUUCUCUAUUAAUGUUAAGUCAAUUUUCUAUAACAAAUUCGGUUGAGUUUAAUUGUGUUACAAUAUAAAUUGAAUGAUAAUAGAAUUUUCAACGAAUAUUUCAAUAUUUCUAUCUCGAUUGUUGAAGUGCCAUUUAUUUGUUAUGCGAUCGAUUUUAAAAUUUAUAAAAAUUAUUUGUUACUAAAUUGCAUCAUAUGCUAAAAUCACCUGAAACCUAAUUCCAUAACUAACCCUUUAUUUUUAGUUCUCAAGAAAUCUUGUAAGAACAAAAUUCUUUUAUAACAAAACUUUUACAACACAUUAAUUUGUAACUCAUUCCUGUGCGAGAAUCACUCUCAAAUUCCUUCAAUUGCUGUUGAACAAUCAUCUGCUUAUCAAAAUUCAAGCAUAAUCUUUUCUUUUUUUUAAUUUCUUCAUCAUUCUUUUGAAAAAAAAAAAUCAGGAUAUGCUGUUAAAAUUUUGAAAUAAAUUAUCUCAAAAUAAUUACUAACCAGAAAAAACAAAGGGGUUUAACUAGGUUAUGCAUACCUUUGAAAAUUAUAUGUUGAUCGAUAAGAAUGAUGAUCACGAUUGAGGAGUUUAAUUAAAAUAUAUAAGAUUUUAAAAUUAAUCAGGGUUAAAUUGUGAAUUUUAGAAAGAGAGGUUUUGUGAGAAUGCUGAAAGGGUGUUAAUAGUUCCACUCUUUUUAAAAGCAACCAUAGUCAUCAUUUUUCCCGAUUUCUUCUUCCCAUCUCCAUCUUAUUUAGAAAUUUCCCAGAGCCUUUGUUUCCCACCUUUCAUUGUUCUUCUUUCUAAUUUAAUACUAUAGGAUUACAAAAAUAAUUACUCACAUUUUAUCAAACACCUCCAUUCUACCAAGGCCUUGUUUUAGUAGUAGGCUUUUAUUAUCUCAAUAAAAUUGAAAAAACAAAUCUCAAUAAUAUUGGAAAAAAAAAACCUACCCAUAUUUGUAACUUUAAUUUAUUAUUCUCCAUAGACCUACUUUUUAGCUUUGAAUUUUGUUGGAGCCAUAUAUAAACAGAAUAUGUUGAAUCAGCACCAAAAAAAAAAAAAAAAAACUAAUUAUAUAAUUUCUGUUCCCAAGGACAUGACUGAUUGAUUUUCAAGAAGUUUUGUUUGGCUGGCUACUUAGGUUUAAAUCUUGGUGGAGAUUAGGGGUUAAGAAAUAAAUUUGGACUUUGCACACCCCUUUAACUUUUAAAAAGAAAUGAAAAAAACUAAUUAAUUAAUCUUUAUUUUAUUUAUUAAAUAUCAUAAUCCUAUGCGUAUUUUAUUUGUUAUCUUUCUAUUUAAAAGACAGGAGGGCAGAUAAAACUGAAAUAAAUUUUUAGCCCUAUCUCCAUCUUUCAAGUUCCAUAGUUAGGUGACCAGGUAAAGAAAAUUAAUUGAAAGCUACUCCAUCAAAUUAAAAAAUUUUAUUUAUUUAAUUUGUGGAGAUGUAGAAAAUCAAACCCCAUGCCUUUUCGCGUGGAAAAGUGUCAACCUGGUCUAGCUAUGUUGCAAAAGUGAACAUAUUUUAAUACAUGACUAUCAUCCUUUAUCCUAAAUACUACUAUAACUAAUAACAUACAAUUGAAAUAAUUAAUGUUAACACUUGGCUAUAAAUAAAGGUUUUGUGCUUGAAUCUUCACGCAUGACCUUCAUUCCUUUAUUUACUUUGCUAACACAGAUUUUGAGGCAUUAAAACUAAAUAAUAAUUGACUUUGUGGGCCGAGGAUGCCAGCAACAAGGAGACCACAAUUAUCACUUGUUAAGUUACUCUAAUUGCCGUUGUCUUAUAUUCAUAGAAUAUUAGUAAUAAGAUUAUUGUAGAAUUUUUUUAUAUUAAAAUUAAGUCAAUUUGUUAUAACAAAUUUAGUUGAGUUUAAUCGUGUUACCACAUAAAUUGAAUAAUAAUAAAAUUCUCGACAAAUAUUUCAAUAUUUUUAUCCCAAGCGUUGGAGUGGCAUUUAUUUGUUAUACGAUCAAUUUUAGAAUUUAUAAAAUUAUUCGUUACUGAAUUGCACCAUAUGCUGCAUGACCUGAAACUUAAUAAACGGAACGUAGCGUUGGCACCGUUACUCAACAUACUGUUACGACUUUGUGACAUUAGAAUUAAAAUCUUUUGCACAUUUAAUUUGUUUACUUCCAAAUUAAUAUUUAACAAAAUAUUUUUUCACAUUAUCAAUGGACAAAACUCCAACGAAAAUAACUACACAAGAAAAAUGUAUGCUAGUAUUGUGUGCCAUAUCAUCUGUAAUUUUGUCAGGAUCGAUCAUUCUAAUUUUUAAGCAGAACUUUUUAUCAAUGGACAAACACCUCACACAGCUUGUCAGAGGCAUUAUUAUGAUGGAAAACUGUAAUGGUAUAUCUUGAAUUAUUGGUAGAAUAGUUCUUUGGAGCAAUAAAAACAGAUAAGACAGAUGAGAAAAUUGUCAAUACCCCACCGCAAAAGCAAAAGAAAAAAAGGAAAGGAGACAAAAGAGGAAGAAGAAAAAGAAAAAAGAACGAAGAAAAAAAUGGUGCCGCGCGGUAUAGGCAAGAAGAAAAAAUAAUAAUAAAAUAAUAAAAUAAUAGUGCACAACAGUCAUUUGAUUGCUAUAAAUAAAGGGGCAUUUCCCUCAUUUUAUUCAUCGAAUUCUUCAGUUCCUAAGCGAUUUAAGAGUCUAGUGAUUUGAGAGUUUGGGUAUAGUAUAGUUUUGAGUAGUGAGUUAAAAUAUUACAAUACUUAUAACUUAUUUUUACUAAUAAAAUAUUUUUCUUCUAUCUUCACCCGUGGACGUAGGGUCAAAGCCGAAUCACAUAAUUUUUAGUAUCCCUAUGUGAUUAUGUAUCUCAUUAUUUUUCAAUUUUACUUUAGUUACGUGUCUGCUACAUCCUUCAAUUUACUAACAAAAAUGGCCAAAAUUAUAUAAGUGACCCAAAUUUUUUUGCUAUUUCCAAGAAAUCUCCAAUCUGAAUGGGCCAGACCAGAGGGAGGCAAGUUAGAAAUACGUUUCCUUCAUAGACAAUAACAGCGAUGAGUCGAUGACAUCGAGCCACGUCGGUAUCAAUAUUGAAUUAAAGGUGCAAUUAUUCAGCCAAUGAGCCUUACACAUCAAGAUAAAAGUCAAGAAAAUGAAUAUUUAUCCUAAUUAAAACACUUUCUGGCUGCAUUUAGUUGUUUCCAUUUGAAGUUAAAAGCAACGUUUCUUUCGUUUUGUGGGCAACUCGACUCAGUUAGCUGGCUUCUAGUGCUAGUAAGUGAAAAUAGAAGGCUAAUGAUUUAUUUGUUAUCUUUUGAUAAAAUUAUUAAAGAUAUAAUAGAUUUUUCAUGAUACAAAUAAAAAAUCACAUCAACAUAGCUUCCAAAGUACAACAGCUAAUGUUUACCAAACACUUUGUUGUAGCUUUUAAGCUACAGCUGCCCAACUUUAAUUUCAAAUGCACCCUUAAUAGGUUGAUUGAAUUUGUGGGAUAUAGAUUCCACAUAUCGUAUGACCUAGUAACUAUACAAGUGGUUCGUGAUCAAGACACAACAUUUGCUUCCGGCCCGGUGACCCAGCAAUCGCUGCAUUGGUCGCCACCUAUGGUGCCAACGAUAUUGCAUGGUCCAAUUGUGGCCUUGAAUGGAAAAAGUUGAGCAAAUUAUUUGUGGACACGAUGAUAAGUAACGCAAGCCUUGAUGCUAGUUAUGGUCCAAGAAAACAAGAGAUAUGCAUAACAACAAAAAGGAAAAAAAAAAAAAAAAAAAAAAAGGCAUUUGCAAGCCCAUUGAUAUUGGUGAAUUGUCGAUUUCAACUUUGGCAUGUGUAAUCCAGAGCCUGCGCGCUGUGGUGUGGCGCUGGCACGCUUGCAUUGACGAGGGGACAAGUCUUGGGGCUGAGCUAACAUUUAAGCUCGCAGAACUCAUGGUGCUAAUGGGAACACCAAAUAUUUUUUGACAUAUUUUGGUGCUUUCAUGGUUUAAUUCAAGGUAUAGAAAGGAGUGUUGAGAAUGUCAAAUAAAACGGUAUUGAAUGGAAGUUGUUAAAGACACGAUCCGCACCGAACGACAACAGCACGGUUGCUAAAAAUCCUUCCGUAAUAGGCAUAUCUAAUUUUUGAAAAAGUGUAACCUCUACAUUUAUAAAUAUACUCAAUGUAUAAUGUUUUACUUAAGAAAUGAAAAACUUGUUUGUUCAAGGAGAAUAAAGAAAAAUUUUCUAUGAUUUUUCUAUGGUUUGAACAAAGAAGGUUUUAACGAGUAUUAUAGACCUCGAUUGAAUGUUCGAAUGUAUAAUAAAAGAGAAACUGUCACAUAAAUGACAAAGAUACUUGAAAAAAAAAAAAAAGGGCAGCAAUAGAGAAUUAGAUCCGACUGUACAAAUAACUAGUUAAUUCAUCGAUACAUCAUUUUCUUGCUAGAAAAUGACAAUUAUGACAGCAAGCCACGAUAGUGUCAAUAUUGAAAUUGAUUUGCAAUUAUUCAGCCUAUGAGCCUUACACGUCAAGAUAAAAGUCAAGAAAAUGAAAGUUAAUAUCAAUUAAAACACUUCCAUUUCUAUGUGAAGUUAAAAAACAACGUUUCUUUUGUUUUGUGGGGGAUUCAACUGAGCACGCGCCACUAGCUAGCUGGCUUCUAGUUCUAGCAUAUGAAAACAGAAUUCUAAAGAUUUCACUUUCACCUUUUUUCUUUUUUUGGGGUUUUGAAUCAAAGUCAAGGUCGCACUGAAUAAUAUGUAAAAUUUGAAAAAGAAGAAUUAAUAGAGAACAAAGUUUUGUUUUAAAUUCACAUGGUGUGCAUACAAUUCAACAAACACUUCCUAUAAUAAAUCUGGAGUUGUAUCCCACGUUGAACAAUAAAGGAAAGUCACCUAAAUAUACAUGUAGGAUAAGUUACUUUAUUUAGUAAGUUUGUAUUUUCUUCUUUCUUCUAGUUUACAUAUAAAUUUGAUUAGAUAACUUAACACAUAUUUUAAUACUUGAUCAGAAGCCCGACGUACAGGUGGAUCUAGAAACUUGAUUUCUAAGAGUAAUACUAUAAUAAAAAAAUAAUGAUUCAUAGAACCAAUAUCAAAAUUUGUUUACAAGAUUGCCCCCACUCAAAGGUAAUUUUCAUAGAAAUUAAUAGGAAAUUUAAUUGUUAGUGGGGUCAAAUUGCCCCCACACUCUGAAUGUAGAUCCACGCCCGACCCUGAGUCAAGUAUAUUUUGCCACAUAUACUCUGAAUGUCGGCAGGAAAAAUCUUCCACUUUAGUUAAAAAUUUUCACUUAAAAAAUAUUUAUGUUAAUAAAGUUCGUAAAGGAAAUGAGUUUAAUUAAUGAAUAUUAUAGGAGAAAUUAAAGGAAAUGAGUUUAAUUAAAGAAUAUUAUAGGAGAAAUUCUAUUGUUCGGCUUUUAAUAAAUUAAUUAAUAGGUUUAAAAGAUUAAUAUACAUCAAAAUAUUAUUAGUUGGUGGGGGUUCCACAUCGGACUAAUACGUGUCACCUUACUUGUGAGAUUAAGACAAUCGACUUAGACUAUUUAAAUAUGUUUGAAGCUUAGAUGGCACCGCUUCAAUUUGCAUUACUGAAUGUCAUUCUUUAUCCUAAUUACUACCGUAAUUGAUAACAUGCAAUUGAAGUAACUAAUAUUAGCACUUGGCUAUAAAUGAACUAAAGGCCGUGCAAUUGAAUCUUUACUUGAUCACUUCACUCCUUUAUUUUGCUAACACAGAUUUUGAGAUAUUAAAACGAAAUAAUAAUUGAAUCUGGCUUUGUGGGUCGAUGAUGCUAGCAAAAACGAGACCACAAUUAUCACUUGUUUAUUUGCUGUAUUUGACGUUGUUUCAUAUUGGUAGUAAUAGGGUCAGUUUUUAAUCUUUUUAUAUUAAAGUUAAGUCAAUUUGUUAUCAAAAAAAAAAAUUGGUUGAGUUUAAUUAUAUUGCUAUGUACAUUAAAUAAUUAUAAUAUUCUUGAGGGAAAAAGACACCUAGAACCUCAAGGUUUGGGGAAAUGGUCACAAAGACUCCUAAGUUUUAAAAAAGGAACACUAAGAUCUUUUUUUACCCAUAAUACCCUUUGACUAGAGUAAUUAAAAAAUUGACUUUAAAGGUUUUUAAAUAAUUCUAAUUUAAUAUAAAUCAUAUAAUCUAUCUAGUAAACUAAUAAUAUUAAAUUAUUUUUUAUAUUUAAAAUAAUGUUAAAUUUUAAAUUAUUAUAUUUAUAAAAUUAUAAAGAUUUUAAAUAAAUAUUUGGAUUGAAUAUAUUUUACAAUUAAAAGUCUUCCUAUUAAUAAUAUUAAAAUUUAAUUUUACAAAAUAUAUAUUCAAAAUAUUUUUAAUUUUAAUUUAUUUAUUUUAAUAUUAUGUUUCUACCUAUUAUUAAAAAUUACUUUAAUAUAAUAAAAUAGGUCUAAUAGAUUGAAAAAUAUGAAAAUAUUUUUAAAAUUUUAAAUUAUUUUGAAAUGUAUAUAUUAUUACAUUUAUUUCAAUGUCAUAUUUUCAUUUAUUAUAAAAUUUUGGGGUUAUUUUUUUGGGAAUUUAUAGAGUCAAAGAGCAUUAUAAUUUAAUCCAUGCACAAUAUCUAUAAUUAUAUCGGUUGUCGGCUGAUUUCGUGGAGGGGGCGGCAGUUCAAAAUUUUUACGUGCAUGUUGGAUGGACGUCUCUAUUAAAGGAGAGCCACCACUUGCAUGGUAAUUUUUUUAAAUAAAUAUAUACAUUUCAAAACAUUAUUUUCUUGUUGUAUAGUUAACAUGUCACCUUAGAUGUAUUUUAGAGCUUCUCCUAUUAAAGAUAAUCUCAUGCAGUGUUACAGAGUAUGGUAAUAUGGUAUAGAUGAGAGCAUCUGAUUAAAUGAAGCAGCUGGUAAUGCUUACGUGUGUGAGUUAGUUAUCCAGCUCAGCAGCAAAGCAAACGAAAUGAAUUGCAUGCAUAUUAGAUCCAACAAACUGGUAAACUCUAGAUUCUUCUUUCAUUUAGUAUAAAUACCAAGUUGUUAUCAUUUGCUAAAUAUAUAAUAAGAUGAUCAUUUUCAGAUCUUUCCUUUAUAAUUUUCUAUAACUUUCUCGUUAGUUUCUCUUGAACCAAACACUUUGUACGAACUCUUUCGUGCAGUGAUACUUCUCGUGAUCUAAUCAUUAGUAGAAUCUAUAAUUUCGCUACUGUAAUAAAAUCUGUCACUACCCUAUAUGAAUGUAGAUAUUUGACGCGAUUUGUAAUUGCUUCCGACAGGAAAACAGCAAUAGUUUUAUUGAAAUUUGUGGUAUAGAUUCCACGAAUCUUAUGACAGAAUACUGACCACUCCAACCCUAUCCGCAUUUACACGAUUAAUACACAAGCUUAGAUGUGACAAUGCAUUUGUCACUCAUUCAAAUUCAUCCUGAAACACUAUACACUAAAUAAUCGAAUAUGGCUUCGUGGGUCGAUGAUGCUAGCAGCAACGAGACUGCAAUUAUCACUUGUUUUGUUGCUGUACUUGUCGUGGUCUAUUUCGCAUGGAAUGUAAACAAAUCAAGUAAAGCAAAUGCUAAAUUGCCACCAGGACCUCGGGGCUUGCCAGUAGUCCGAUACCUCCCAUUUCUUGGAACUACUGACUUACACAAGACAUUCACGGAGUUAUCUGGAGUUUAUGGUCCGAUCUUCAAGAUUUGGCUUGGGAAUAAAUUGUGUGUAGUGGUGACCUCGCCUACCCUAGUUAAACAAGUGGUCCGUGAUCAAGAUAUAACAUUCUCAAACCGCGACCCACCGAUCGCUGGAACUGUGACCACCUACGGUGGCAAUGAUAUUGCACUUUCCAAUUACGGUCCCGAAUGGAAAAAGUUGCGAAAAUUAUUUGUGAGCAAGAUGAUGAGUAAUGAGACCCUUGAUGCUUGUUAUGCUCUAAGAAAACAAGAGGUUAAAAAUACUAUCAGGGAUUUGUAUAACAACAAUAAGGAUAAUAUUGGCAAUGGCAAUGGCAAGCCCAUUGACGUUGGUGAAUUGUCGAUUUCAACUUUGGUACGUGUUAUGCAGAACAUGCUGUGGGGUCAAGCAUUGGAAACAAGAGAGAAAGAGAUUACUAAUCUCGGGGCUAAUCUUGCAGAACUCAUGGUGCUACUGGGAACACCAAAUAUUUCGGAUAUUUUUCCAGUGCUUUCAUGGCUUGACAUGCAAGGUAUAGAGAGAAGAGCUAAGAAGAUUUCUCUAUGGUUUGAAAAUAUUAUCAAUUCUGGUGUUGAACAGUAUAGAAACAAGUUCUCUGUUGUUAAAGGUGAAGAAGCUGCAGCACGAAAAAAUAUUGAACGAUCAAGAAAUAAGGACUUCUUGCAGUUGCUGUUGGAGCUUCAGGAAAAUGAAGAUAGUGCUUCAUCUAUUAGCAUGAACCAACUAAAGGCCGUGCUCGUGGUAUGUUAAGCAACUAGACACAAAAAGUUGUAAAAGCACAGCGAUAUAUUUGCGCGAGGCCCCGAGUGAUGUUUUGCCUCGAGAACUCUCAAUUUUAUCUUACGGUAAAAAAUGUUUUUCAACUUUUUUUUUUAAUUAGAAUUUUAUUGCAAUUUAUUUAACAGGACAUAAUUGUGGCCGGAACCGACACCACAACUACGAUGGUGGAAUGGACAAUGGCAGAGUUGAUGCAACAUCCACAAGUAAUGAAGAAAGUUCAAGAAGAAUUCGCUCAAGCUGUGGGCAUGGACAGUUGUGUUGAAGAAUAUCACUUGCCUAAAUUAAAGUAUUUAGAUGCUGUGGUGAAAGAAACAUUUCGUUUGCAUCCUGCGUUGCCCUUAUUGGUACCUCGCACGGCAAGCAAGAAUAGCAACAUUGGUGGCUAUACCAUUCCCAACGACACUAAUCUUAUGUUGAAUGUUUGGGCUAUCCACAGGGACCCUCAACUUUGGGAUAAUCCCUUAGAAUUUCGACCUGAGAGGUUCUUGAAUGAUGGUAUCAUAAGCAAUUUCAAUUACUCGGGUAACAAUUUUCAGUACUUGCCAUUUGGUUCUGGUAGAAGGAUGUGCGCUGGGAUUGCUCUAGCUGAGAGGAUGUUGAUGCUUGUUCUGGCUUCGUUGUUGCACUUGUUUGAGUGGAAAUUGCCCUCGGGCACAAAGCUAGACUUAUCUGAAAAGUAUGGGAUUGUCAUGCGGAAAAAAGAGCCUCUAAUUGCUAUUCCAACACCAAGGCUACCAAAUUCAGAUCUCUACCAGUAAGAUCAAAAUGGUUUUGAUAAUAUUAUUUCCCAUUGUAUUGGAUUUGAAGUUCAAUCAUAAUAAAAUAUUUUAAUAAAAUGUCCUCGGUUGCUAAUUUUUCAAUAGUAUAAUCUGCACCUGUCUUUUAUAGCAAUUUGGUCUAAUUUAUUUUUGAAUUAAAAUCCAUAAAUAUUUAUAUUUUUUUAAUUAUAUUAGGAAUUAUGUGGGGUGUAUGGUCUGAUCUUCGAGCUAUGCCUUGAAAACAAAUUAUGCAUAGUCGUGCACACGCUUUCCCUAAUUAAGUUUGUGGUUCGUGCUCAAGGCACAGCAUUCACCCCCCGCGACCCAACAAUCGCUACAUUGUUCCCCACCUAAAGUGCCAACAUAUUGCAUAAGUAACGCAAAAUAUGGUCCCCAAUGGAAAACGUUGCGCAAAUUAUUUCUGGGCAAGAUGAUAAGUAACGCAAGCCUUGAUGCUUGUUAUGGUCUAAGAAAACAAGAGGUUAAAAAUACUAUCAGAGACAUAUAUAAAACAACAACAGAAAAAAUUGGCAUUAUCAUCGAUAAUGGUGAGUUGUGGAUUUCAACUUUGGUAUGUUUAAUUCAGAACCCGCAGUGGGGUGGCGCUAGCACGCCUGCGUUAGGAGACGAGGGGACCAAUCUUGGGGCCGAGCUAAAAUAUAGGCUUGUAGAGCUCAUGCUGCUAAUGGUAAUGGGAACACCUACUAUUUCGGAUACUUUUCCGAUGCUGGUUUAAUUCAUGGUUUAGAAAGGAGAACAAAGAAGAUUUUUCGAUGCUUUGAAAAUAUUAUAAUUUUUAUAAAAUCUCUUAUUGAUAACUAAACAACUAAAAUUUCUGUAAAGUUUUUGUGGACUUUUGAUCUCCUAUGGUGCCAAUAUUUUCGACUAAUUUUUUCCUUCAAUUAAUGAUGUUGGUUGAGAAAGACUAUUUUUCUUGCAAUAAUAUAGUAUUCGUGGUCCUAUUAGGGUUCCGAAUGGAGAAAGUUGCACUAAGUUUUUUGAGUACCAAAUGAUGAGUAAUGUACGUAAGCCUUGAUGGUAGUUAUGGUCUAAGAAAACAAGAGGUUAAAAAUACUAUCUGGGAUUUGUACAACAAUAACAAAAUUGGCAAGCCCAUUGACAUUGGUGAAUUGUCAGUUUCAACCUUGGUAAGUGUUUUCAGAACAUGCUGUGGGGUGAAGCGCUUGGAAUAAGAAAGAAACGGAUGACGAAUAUUGGGGCUGAGCUUAGAUUUAAACUUGCAGAACUCAUGGUGCUGUCAGGAACACCGAAUAUUUCGGAUAUCUUUCCAGUGCUUUCAUGGUUUGAUAUACAAGGUUUUGAGAGAAUAGCAAAGAAGAUUUCUCUAUGGUUUUAAAAUAUUAUCAAUUCUACUGUUGAACGCUAUAGAAACAAGGUCUCAGUUGUUAAAAGUGAAGAAGAAGACGCAGCAGCAGCAGCAGCAGGGAACAACAUUGAAGGAAGGAAUAAGGACCUGGUGCAGUUACUCUUGGAGCUUCAAGGUAAAGAAGAAAAUGCUUCAUCAAUUAACAUGACGCAAUUUAAGAGCUUGCUCGUGGUAUGUUUGCGCAACUAGCCACAGACAGUUACAGAAACUGAGUUUGGCAGAUUACGACCGUUUCUGGUGAUUAUAUAACUAUUUGUGGCUGUUUUUUGUUUUUUUUUUCUUUUAAUUGGAAUUUUAUUGUAAAUUUCUUAACAGGAUAUAAUUUAGGGUGGAACCAACACCACAACUAUAAUGGUGGAAUGGACAAUGGCAUAAUUGAUACAGCAUCCACAAGUAAUGGAGAAUGUAAAGGUAGAACUAAGUCGGGCCGUGGCCAUUGACAGCCAUGUUGAAGAAUUUCACCUACCUAAGUUAAAAUAUUUAGAUGUUGUGGUGAAAGAAACAUUCCGCACGAUAAUAUAAUAUAUGAAUCAUAUAUCCUCUAUUGGUUUUUUGCUCCUUUUUUUUUCAAUAGCUUAAUCUAUCAUUAAAAUCUUCUGAAAUUCUAAAUUAAUAUACAUUCAACCUAGAGUUCAACCCAAAGUUUUAUUGAGCAUUAAAAAAAAAAAUUCUACGACUAAAAAUUUUACAGAGUAUAAAUUAAAAAUUAUGCGCCUACUAACAGACAAAAAACAAUUGAUACACAUUCACCAAUCAAAGGCAAACAAGAGAUUAUUAACAAUAACUUAAUAAUAAAAUUAUAAGGAAUCAAAUAGAAAUGGUACCUAGAAACACAUCACGCCAUUUAAUCAAUCACUUACCCAUAAAAUCCAAACUUAUAAACUAUUAAGGGGGGGAAAUGGAUACCUUUGGGUUUCAUUAAAUCAAAAUUACAACACCAUUAAAUACUCAAAAAUGAAAAAAAAAAAAUCAUACCCAAUAAAAGAGAAAAAAAUAACCCACAAAAAAAAUCAUCAAGAAAAUAAAUUUGAGACUAAGAGAAGAUAUUAAUUAACGCCUGGGUUGCAUUGGAACCACGGCUUUGGCUUCCAUUUUUCAAUUCUUGGUCACAAGUGAUUUCUUGUUUGUUUGCAAUGAUGACGGUUGAUUAAUGAAGCUCUAUUAACAAUGAAUGAAUCAAAAAACUUGAGCCUUGAAAAGACUAACGGUCAUAUUUUUCAACUCCGAAUUAGUGGCGUUUGAUGAGUCCUUGCCAAAACAAUCACUCGGCAGAUAACGAUCAUUUUUCAACCAGCAAAACUCAUUCAUUGUUUUUCACCUUAGUGAAGAUUUAAAAAUUGUUUCAAAAUAGGAUUCUUAAAAAAAUAAUAAUAAAAUGAUAUUUAACUUAAUUCUAACUUAGGAAAACAAAAUAUCUACACUCCCAAAGUUUGGAGAAAUGGUCAUUAAUAUCCCCAACUUUCCAAAAAGAGACACCAAGAACCCUUUUAACCAUAAUACUAUUUACUUCUAUUAUCCCAAAAAACAAUUGACUCUAAUAUUUUAUAAUAAAUAAAAAUAUAACAUUAAAAUAAAUGUAAUAGUAUAUACAUUUUAAAAUAGUUUCAAUAUUUAAAAAGCAUUUUAAUAUUUUUAAAUUCUAUUUUAUAUAUAUUGAUUAUUUUAAAGUAAAUUUUAUAAUAAAUAGAAUCAUAAUAUUAAAAUAAAUGCAUUAAAAUUUAAAUUAUUUUGAAUAUUAUGUAAAAUAAUAAUUUUAACAUUAUUAGUAUAUGAGAAUUUUUUUAAUUGUAGAAUGCAUUUAAUGCAAAUAUUUAUUUAAAAUCUCUACAAUAAAUAAAAAUAUACUAUUAAAACAAAACUCUACAAUACAUACAUACAUACAUAUACAUUGGCCUGGUAUUUUUAUUUUUCAUUUUUAAACUUAUUAAAUCCUCUAACUAUCAUUUGAUUUUUUUUUUUUUUCAAUGAUCAAGAGGUCAUUGCCGGAUAAAUGAUUAAAAUCAACUAGUUCUACAAGAAUAUCUCUUUUUAAAGGAAGAUGAUUCUCUCUCUCGAAAUUUUUUUAUCUCGUGCUACAAACUAAAAACUUAUGCCACUUCAUUAACCACAAAGAUCUUUGAGGAAAUGAUGCUUCCCUCCCCCCCCCCCCCCCCCCCCCUCCCACAAAAAAAAAAAAGAGUCCUUCCAUAUUGUGUGAAGGCUAAUAUAUCGAUGAAUCUAGAUUUCUUUAAAUUUUUUGUUUUACUCAAUUCGAGAUAAUAAUUCAAUCCAUGCAAAUAUCUAUCAUUGUAUGAGCUGACCAGUUAAUAGGUUGAUUGAAUAUAUGUGGUAAAGAUUCCACGUAUCUCAUGACAGAAUGCUGACCACUGGAACCCUAUCUACUUUUACGCGAUUAAUUCACGAGCUUAGGCACAACAAUUGCAAUACAAAUUAUCCCCUCAUCGUAUAUUUCGUUAAAAUUCAUUCUGAAGCAGUAAAACUAAACAAUCGAAUAUGGCUUUGCGGGUCGAUGAUGCCAGCAGCAAUGAGAGUGCAAUUAUCACUUGUUUAGUUUCUGUGCUUGCCGUGGCUUAUUUCGCAUGGAAUGUGAAAAAAUCAAGGAAAGCAAAUGCUAAACUGCCACCAGGAACUCGCGGCUUGCCUGUAGUCGGAUACCUCCCAUUUCUCGGGACUACUGACUUGCACAAGAAAUUCACGGAAUUUAUUUUACUAUUAUAUUUAUAUUCAAAAUAAUUUUAAUUAGCUUUUAAAAUGAAUGAUUUUAGGAAAUUAUAAAUAAAGGUAACUAAGAAUUCUCUUAAUGCAAUAUAUUAUUAAUUAGUUUAAAAAUACAAAUUUAUUAAUUAGAGAAAUUAUUAGUGAAUUUAAAUUAAUGAUCUUAAUGAUUUGUUUGUACGAUUGCCCCCAAUCAAAGGUAAUUUUCCUAAAAAUUAUUAGGAAAUUAGAGAAAUUUAAUUUUUUUUAGUGGGUUCAAUUGCCCACACACCCCGACUGAAGCAUUUUUUACAAUAUGUACUCCGUUUGUCGGCAGGAAAAUAAAGGUCUUGACACAUGAUCACUUCAUUCCUUUAUUUACUUUGCGAACGCAGAUUUUGAGGUAUUAAAACAAAUAAUAAUUGAAUAUGACUUUGUGGGUCGACGACGCCAGCAACGAGGAGACCGCCAAUUAUCACAUUUUAAGUUUGCUGUAAUUGCCAUUGUUUUAUAUUAGUAGAAUAUUAGUGAUAAGAUAAUUGUAGAGUUUUCAUUUUUUUAAUAUUAAAAUCAAGUCAAUUUAUUAUAAUAAAUUUAGUUGAAUUUAAUCGUAUUACCACAUAAAUUGAAUAAUAAUAGAAUUCUCCACAAAUAUUUCAAUAUUUUAAUCUCAAGCAUUGGAGUGGCAUUUAUUUGUUAUGCGGUCGAUUUUAGAAUUUUUAAAAUUAUUCGUUACUGAAUUGCACCAUAUGCUGCAUCACCUGGAACUUACUAAACGGAACGUAGCGUUGGCACCGUUACCAACAUUCACUGUUACGACUUUGUGACAUUAGAAUUAAAAUCUUUUCCACAUCUAAUUUGUUUACUUCCAAAUUAAUAUUUAACAAAAUAUUUUUUCACAUUAUCAAUGGACAAAACUCCAACGAAAAUAACUAUACAAGAAAAAUGUAUGCUAGAAUUGUAUGCCAUAUCAUCUGUAAUUUUGUCAGGAUCGAUCAUUCUAAUUUUGAAGCAGAACUUUUUAUCAAUGGACAAACACCUCACACAGCUUGUCAGAGGCAUUAUUAUGAUGUAAGAUUGUAAUGGUAUAUCUUGAAUUAUUGGUAGAAUAGUGAAUAACUAUUUGGAGCAAUAAAAACAAAUAAGACAGAUGAGAAAAUGGCUAAAAUUAUAUAAGUGACCCAAAUUGUUUUGCUAUUUCCAAGAAAUCCCCAAUCUGAAUGGACCAGCCAGAGGGAGGCAAGUUAGAAAUAUGUUUCCUUCAUAGACAAUAACAACGAUGAGUCGAUGACAUCAAGCCACGUCGGUAUCAAUAUUGAAAUAAAGGUGCAAUUAUUCAGCCAAUGAGCCUUACACAUCGAGAUAAAAGUCAAGAAAAUGAAAAUUUAUCCCAAUUAAAACACUUUCUGGCUGCAUUUAGCUGUUUCCAUUUGAAGUUAAAAACAACGUUUCUUUCGUUUUGUGGGCGACUCGACUGAGCUAGCUGGCUUCUAGUGCUGGUAAGUGAAAAUAGAAGGCUAAUGAUUUCACUUUCACAUUUUUCUUUUCCUUUUUUGGGAAUCAAAGUCAAGGUCAAGAAGAAUAAAUGGAGAAUUCGGAAAAAUGGGUGCAUAAUGUGAUCCAUUCAUGAAGAAGAGUACGUGAGCGUCGGGCAACAGUAUUUUUACCUAUUAAGCUCCAGUUUAAUUUUGUUGUAGGAAAACAAAAUUUUGUUUUCAAUUCACAUCGUGUGCAUCCAAUUCAACAAACACUUUGUAAUAAUUAAUGUUGAGUUGUAUCCUACGUUAAGGAGAGUUACUUAAAUUUAUAAAUAGGAUAAAUUACUCUAUUUAAUAAGUUAAUGUUUUCUUCUUUCUUCUAGAUUACAUAUAAAUUUAGUCAGAUAACCUAACACAUAUUUUAAUACUCGAUCAGAAGCCCUAAGCAGUGGUGGAUCCAAUAAAUUGAUUUAUAUGGUGUAAUAAUGUAAUAAAAAAAUGGUGAUUCAUAAAAUUGACCCAAUAUCAAAAUUUGUUUGCAAGAUUACUCCCCACUCAAAGGUAAUUUUCCUAAAAAUUAAUAGGAAAUUUAAUUGUCAUUGGGAUCAAAUUGCCCCCACACUCUUGAAUGUAGAUCCUCCCCUGGCCUUGAGUCAAGUAUUUUUUCCAAUAUAUACUCCGAAUGUCGGCAGGAACAACCUUCCACUUUAAUUUAAAAUUUUUACUUGAAAAAUUAAUUAAUGUUAAUAAAGUUCGUAAGAGAAAUGAGUUUAAUAAAAGAAAAUUAUAGGAGAAAUUCUAAUGUUUGUCUUUUAAUAAAUUAGUUUAUAAGUUUAAAAAGUUAACAUAUAUCAAAAUAUUAUUGAUUGGUGGUGGUUUCACGUCAGAUUAAGACGUGACACUUUACUUGUGAGACUGAGACAAUCAGCUUAGACUACUUCAAUAGGUUUGAAGCGUAGGCGGCACCCAUUCAAUUUGCACCAAUGUCUAUCAUUCUUUGUCCUAAUUACUACGAUAAUUAAUAACAUGCAAUUGAAAUUAUUAAUGUUAGUACUUGCCUAUAAAUAAAGGUAUUGUACUUGAAUCUUCAUAGAUGAUCACUUCAUUCCUUUAUUUACUUUGGUAACACAGAUUUUGAGAGACAUUAAAACUAAAGAAUAAUUGAAUAUGGCUUUGUGGGUUGAUGAUGCCAGCUCCAACGUGAGUGCAAUUAUCGCAUGUUUAAUUGCUCUAUUAGCCGUGGUCUAUUUCGUGUGGACAAGGAAAACAAAUGCUAAACUUCCACCAGGACCUCGCGGCUUGCCUGUAAUCGGAUACCUCCCUUUUCUCGGAACUACUGACUUGCACAAGACAUUCACGGAAUUAGCUGGUGUGUAUGGUCCAAUCUUCAAGCUCUGGCUUGGCAACAAAUUGUGUGUAGUGGUGAGCUCGCCUUCCCUAGUUAAACAAGUGGUUCGUGAUCAAGAUAUAACAUUCGCUAACCGCGACCCACCGAUCGCUGGACUCGUGGCCUCCUUUGGUGGCAAUGAUAUUUUAUUUUCCAAUUAUGGUCCUGAAUGGAGAAAGUUGCGCAAAUUAUUUGUGGGCAAGUUGAUGAGUAACGCAAGUCUUGACGCUUGUUAUGCUCUAAGAAAACAAGAGGUUAAAAAUAUAAUCAGGGAUUUGUAUAAUAACAACAAAACUGGCAAGCCCAUAGAUGUUGGUGAGUUGUCGAUCUCAACUUUUGUAUGUGUUAUACAGAACAUGCUAUGGGGUGAAGCUCUUGAAUUAAGAGAGAAAGGGAUCAGUAAC
rnacentral:lncRNA from 1 species